rnacentral:lncRNA from 1 species
GAUGGGUUUAAUGUGCCUAUGGCCUUUAACCCUACCUCCAAUGGGUGCACCCGUGGGAUACGGUGCACGGCCGACAUCGUGGGACAGUGCCCCAGUCCGCUCCAAACUCAGGGUGGCUGCAAUAACCCAUGCACCGUUUUCAAGACCAAUGAGUACUGUUGCAAUUCCGGGAGCUGUGGCCCGACAGAUUACUCAAGGUAUUUCAAGACUAGGUGCCCUGAUGCUUACAGCUACCCUAAGGAUGAUCAAACCAGCACCUUUACAUGCCCUGGUGGUACCAACUAUGAAGUUAUCUUCUGCCCAUAAAGCCUCUAUUAACUAUAGUAUGCAUGUAUUCGCCAGUCUAAACUACUAGGGUGCUUUUGAGUCCAUGUUGAGAUGCAAAAGUCUAAGGAAUAAAUUUGAGCACAUGUAUGUGUACUGAAUGUGCUCAUGCAACAACUUUUCUACGCUAGUAGAAUAAAUGGAUGUUUUUAUGAAUCUUUGGGACUUUAUGCAUUUCAUUAAGAAAGUAUUUUAUCGUUAUUAUAGGAAAUAUUUUUAGUCUUUUUAAUAUUUAAAAAAUAAAAAAUUUUAAAUAUUAAAAAAAGUAGCAACACUUCCUAAAAUUAUUAGGAAAUCAUUACCAAUGGUUAAUUUAGAGUCUUUAGACCACUGGAAUGGAGGUUUCAAGGAAGAAAAAAAAAAAAGAAAAGGUUUGACUGGGAGCAUAGCUUUGCUGACUGACCUCACUCCCAAAUCAAUUUUCCAUGUGGUGGAAGACACGAUGGGUAGGCGGCUGUUAAUGGAGAGUUUGGAGUUUCCCCACCCACUUUCAAUUAUAUCCAUUUACAUGGAAAUAUAUAGGAAAAGAAAAAAAUUUAAUAUUUUCAAAUUUUAAAAUUUUUCGUCAAAAGCAUCUCCUUUCGAUUGUUAUAUUAAAGAUUUUGUGAUUUCAAAUCUUUUCUGGUUUAAGUGCUGAAUUCACCCUAAAGAGUUUGCCUUUUUUUUUUCUUUUCUUUUUCUGUCCCUAUUUAAUAUAUAUAAUUAUGUAGAUUUUCUAUUUUGUAUUUCAUAGUACAUAAUUUUGAUAAUAUUUAAUGUCUUUUGCUUGAUUCCCUGCAUAGCACGUGGGUAGGAUUAUUUUUGGCUUUCAAAUCUGCUUGCAUCUUCAAUGUAGCCUUCAUGAUUUCAUUGAACUGAAGUGGAUAGGACGAGCUUGAGUUAUUCGUAAUGGUGCUGUCUGGCCUUGCUGCACAUCUAUCUACGACCAUCAUAUACUCAGAGCAGUAAUGGUGCUGUUUGGCCUUGCUGCACAUCUGAUCUACGACCAUCCUACACACUAAGAGCACUAAACUUACUAGCAAAGAUGAAAAUAUCGGUAAUCACGUAUAUAUCGGUACUUCGAUCUCACGGAUAUAUCGACGGAUAUUUUGAAAAAUAAUAUCGAUAAAUCUAAAAUUAAUUAAAAUUUAUAAAAAUAUAAAAAAAAUUCAUAAAAAUGUAAUUAAAAGUAUAUUGCUAUUUUUAAGUUGUUUUAUUAAAUAAUUUGAUAUAUGUAUAAUAUCGUAUGGAUCGAUAAAAAUAUGAAUUUUAUAAAUGUACAUUUAUUAUUAAAUUACAUAAUAUUAUGAUAUUUGAUUGUAAUAUAUCUAAUUUUAAAAUAUAUAUUAAUAUUAAAAUUAUGAUCCAUUUAAUUCAAUUGUAUUAAACAAUAUAAAAUAAGUUAUGAUAUAUGUAUAAUUUUUAAAUAUUUAAUUAAUUAUUAAUGAUAUUAAAAACAUUAUGAAGAAAAUUAUAUAAUUUUUAUAUUUUUGGUAAUUAAUUAAAAUAAAUUUUUGUAUUUAAUUAUCAAAUAAUUAUAAUUAAUUUGCUCUUUAAAAUAUUCUUUUAAUAUUUUCUUUAGAUAAUGAGUUUAACUAUAUAUAUAUAUAUAUAUAUGUAUAAUGCAUAUGAUAUAAUAAAGGUGAGUUUGCCCAGAUGGUUAGUGGUUUGAACCUCAAACCUUUUGGUUUGGGGUACAAAUGCGAUAUAUCGAUGAGAUAUCAUCGAUUUUUUGGGUUUCUGGAGAAGUAUUGCCGAAAAUAUCGUCGAACCGUGUUGACCCUUUCCGAUACACGAUAUAUCGCAAUAUUUUCCUCCUUAUUAGCAAUGUCCCACCAAAGUUGCGUGCAUUGAAUUGUAUAAUAUCAGGAUAUUUUCCUCCUUGCUCACUAGCAAUGCCCCACCAAAGUUGUGUGCAUUGAAUUGUAUAAUCAAUUGACUGUUCACCUUUAUAUCUUCAAUGACACUAGUUCUAGAGGUGCAUUUUUUGUGUGCAUCCUCAUCGGAUUUAUCAGUGAAAAUUUGAUUUUUGAAAAAAGAAAAAAACAGUUGAAGUUCCUCUUUAUUUUAGUUUUUUUUAAAAGAAAAACCAAAAUAAGAAGAAAACCGUUCCAAAUUCUUUGGAAAAGAUAUAUAUGUAAAAAUUGAAUUUAGACUAAAAGAUUAGUCAUUUAUUGGAAAAGUACCAUGGUGAUGUGUAACAUUUCUUCAUGCUCAUACAUAUAUGUCUUUACUAAAUGAAUAAAAGAAACUAUAACGAUUAAUUAAUUAAUCAUAGAUACCAAGAUUAAGAACACAAAUCAAUAUACAAACCAAAAUAAGAAGAAAAUCGUUCCAAAUUCUUUGGAAAAGAUAUAUAUGUAAAAACUAAAUUUAGACUAAAAGAUUAGUCAUUUAUUGGAAAUGUACGAUGGUGAUGUGUAACAUCUCUUCGUACUUAUACAUAUAUGUCUUUACUAAAUGAAUAAAAGAAACUAUAAUGAUUGAUUAAUUAAUUAUAGAUACCAAGAUUAAGAACACAAAUCAAUAUACAAAAAAAAACGAUAAAAUCAAAUUAAAAUAAUACCCGAAAUAAAUGACACGAGAAUUUUACAAAAUAAUUUAUUAAACAAAUUAAAAAUAUAUAUAUUUCUAAAAAAUUAUUUUUUUAANNNNNNNNNNNNNNNNNNNNNNNNNNNNNNNNNNNNNNNNNNNNNNNNNNNNNNNNNNNNNNNNNNNNNNNNNNNNNNNNNNNNNNNNNNNNNNNNNNNNNNNNNNNNNNNNNNNNNNNNNNNNNNNNNNNNNNNNNNNNNNNNNNNNNNNNNNNNNNNNNNNNNNNNNNNNNNNNNNNNNNNNNNNNNNNNNNNNNNNNNNNNNNNNNNNNNNNNNNNNNNNNNNNNNNNNNNNNNNNNNNNNNNNNNNNNNNNNNNNNNNNNNNNNNNNNNNNNNNNNNNNNNNNNNNNNNNNNNNNNNNNNNNNNNNNNNNNNNNNNNNNNNNNNNNNNNNNNNNNNNNNNNNNNNNNNNNNNNNNNNNNNNNNNNNNNNNNNNNNNNNNNNNNNNNNNNNNNNNNNNNNNNNNNNNNNNNNNNNNNNNNNNNNNNNNNNNNNNNNNNNNNNNNNNNNNNNNNNNNNNNNNNNNNNNNNNNNNNNNNNNNNNNNNNNNNNNNNNNNNNNNNNNNNNNNNNNNNNNNNNNNNNNNNNNNNNNNNNNNNNNNNNNNNNNNNNNNNNNNNNNNNNNNNNNNNNNNNNNNNNNNNNNNNNNNNNNNNNNNNNNNNNNNNNNNNNNNNNNNNNNNNNNNNNNNNNNNNNNNNNNNNNGAUUUUUACUUACUUUUAUUAGAAAAUAAUAAAUUUUUACAACUUUAUUUAGAAAAAAUAUUUUUAUUUUAUUUUAUUUACAAAUGAAUUAAUUUAUUUACAAAUGAAUUAAUUUAUUUACAAAAAAAAAAUAUUUUUAAUCUAAUUUUAUAAAAAAAAUGAUUUUUACAACUUCAAUUUACCAAAAAAAACUUUCAUUUUAUUUUUAUUAAAAGGACAUCGAAGACCUUUAUUUAUGAAAAUUACUUAUAAUCUUAUUCCAAGGAAAGAGAACUUAUUUAAAUAUCAUUUUUUUUUGGAUAAUUUUAUUAAAGAAAAAACUUUUGGGCAAUUUUAAUUAAACAAAAUAAAUUUUCACACAAUUAUUAUUAAAAAUAAUUAAAUACAAGUUUUUGAAUUCCUUUAAAAACAUUUUUUGAAUUUUUUAUAAAACUUUUUAGAACUAUUAUUUUAUUAAAAAUUAUUUACCAAAUUGUAUUUUUGGUUUGUUCAAUACAAGUGAAUAUUUAUAGAAUCAAUAGAAAUAAAACCAAAUAAAAGUAGAAAAUAAAAUGUGUACACAACAAGCUUUCAUCCUUCUUUUUCUAUGUGAAAUUCAACCCUUCAUGUGUCACACAUCCAUACUCAGUCAAUACUCAAUAGAAUACCAAUGCAAGUAAUGUAAUGGGUCCAUGCAAAACAAAAAUGAAUCAGUCCAAAACAAAUAUUCAAAUCCAAAUUUUAGAAGCCAAUAACAAAAUUCAAAUUGGUCCAAUGAAUUUCACCAAUGAAAAUAAACUCAAAUUAACAAGUAUAACCCAACAAAAAUAUUUCAUUUACUAUAAGCAUUAAUUCAAAAAUUUCAAAUUAAUAACUAAUAUAUAAGCACAAUCUAAUAUCCUUCAACAAGCAACAAAUCAAAAGAUUUUCAAUUAAAUCCAAAUUUAAUAUUUCAUACUCCAAACUCAAUUUAAUAGGCAAACCCAAAUCAAUAACCAAAAUCAAAUUAAAUAAUUCAUGAGCAAAACCCAUAUCAAAUAUCAAUCAAUCCAACAAAUUUUACCAACAACAAAAAUAGCUUAAAUUCCAUAUUAAUUAAUAAACUCAAAACAUGACAAAUCAAAAUAAAUUCAAUCAAACCUAAAUUCAAUAUCUUUAAUUCAAGCCUAAUUUAACACUCAAAUCCAAAACCCAAUAAUCACCGAAUCCAAAUAAAACAUAAACUAACAAACCCAAAUUUAUGAAUACAAAUCAAAAUACAAGGUACAAAAUGAUAUCCAGAUUAUCUAAGCUUACAAAUAAUGUCCCGAUCAAGUAAAUGCAAACAUGAAAAUAAUAAAAAUUAGUCCAAACCAACAAUCUCAAUAAUCAAGAACAAAUUAUUGUAGUAAUUAAACAGAAAUAAUAAAAAUAAAAGGACAUAAAAUUACCCGGAACCCAUUGUAGUAAUUAAACAGAAAUAAAAAAAAUAAAAGAAAAUAAAAUUACCCAAAUUUGAAGUAUAUUGUUGAAGGGUUGAUAGAGGAGAAUGAAAAUAAAAAUAAAAUUAAAAUGAAAGAAGAUGAGAAGGAAAGAAAGAGAAAAUGGUGAGAUGGGAGACAGGUCGAAAGGGAGAAAGAGAGGGGAAAGGGGGGUCGCCGGUCGGCUAGUCACCGCCGCAGCAGAUCACUGACGGUGACUGACGGGGCCGUGUUGCCGAUAGUACGGGUUUAGUGAAUGUGGUGAGGGAAAAAUGAAGAAGAAAAGAAGAACACAAAGGAAGAUAAAAAAAAAUACAAAGAAAAAAACGAAAAGGAAAGAAGAAAGGUGGGGCAUGUUCUCUGGAAGUGGGUCUGGGGGGAGAAGAAGAAGGGGAAAAAAAUGGGGAAAAAAAAAAAGAAAAAGAAAGAAAAGAGAGGAAAAAAGGAAGAUAAAAUGGAAGAGAUGAGAGUGGGGGGUAUGGGUUCUCUGACGUGGGAAUGGGCAGGAAAGAGAGAGUUGAGAGAAUGGGUGGAGUAACUGGCAGAAAAAGAAAAAGAAAAGAAAAUGAAAGAAAAGAGAGGAAAAAAGGAAGAUAAAAUGGAAGAGAUGAGAGUGGGGGGUAUGGGUUCUCUGACGUGGGAAUGGGCAGGAAAGAGAGAGUUGAGAGAAUGGGUGGACUAACUGGCAGAAAAAGAAAAAGAAAAGAAAAGAAAAGAAUAGAAGAAGAAAGAAAAUGAAAGAAAAUGAGAGGAAAAAAGGAAGAUAAAACGGAAGAGAUUUAAAAUUAAAUAAAAUAUAAAAUAACAAAAUAAUAAAAUUUAAGAUUUAAAAUGUAUAAGUAAGUUAAAAAAAUUCAAAUUAAGAUUUAAAAGGUAUAAGUUGAUCAAAAAAUUUAAAUUAAGAUUUAAAAUGCUUGUAUGGGUAAAAAAAAAUCAAAUGUAAUCGAUUUGAAAUAUAAGAAUAAAAUUAAACUUAAAAUUAAUAUAAAACAAAAUUUAGGAAAAAUUUUAGGAUUACAAAAAGUAAGAGUAUGGUACAAAAUUAUUUUUAAAAAUAAUUUUUAUUAUUUAAAUAAAAAAUUAUCUAAAAACAUUAAUUUAUUUUUUUAAAAUAAGAAAUAGUUUUUAUGAAUUUAUUCUUAAAAUGAGAAGAGAGUGUUUAGAAUAUAUUUUUUUCACUUAUUUUCUAAAAAAGUAUUAUAAAAAUCAAUUUAAUAAAUAUGAAGAAUAAUUAAAAAUAAAAUAUUAUAUACAAAAGUUAUUUUAAAAAAUAUAUUAAAAAAAUUCAAAUUUCUAAAUGGACUUUUCUAUUAAAAAAUAUUAAAAAUUGUUUGAAGCAUAUUUUCAAAAAUAAUUUUUCUCUUUAGAUUUCAAAAAUAUUUCCAAAUAGAUUUUAACAUAUCGUUUCAAAGUGAUUCUAAUUAAAAUAUUUUGAUUUAUAUUUUUUAAUUCAAAAUAUAUUGUUCAACUUUUAAAUAUAAAACCAAUUCAAAAAUAUCCUCAACACAUAUUAUUUAAUCAUAAAAAUUCUCAUAAUUUUUUUACUCUUCAAAUACUUUCCAACAAAGAUCAAAAGUCACAUGCGAGUGUAGAUACAAUAAGAUUCUUCCAACAAAUUUCAAAUGCAAGUGACAUACAUAUUUCAACACUCCCCCAACAUAAUUCACAAGAAUAAUUUCUCAAUAACACAAAUCUCAAUUUCUACUAAAUAUCUAUAUCAAAAUAAAUAGAAAAAAUAUAUAUUUAAGAUAUCCAAAGAUGAUCACACCUAUUUUAGUUCAUUGUUCUUCCAUUCAACUUAUAUCCACAAGUAUUAAAUGAAAACUAAAACUGAAAAUAAAUUAAAGAGUAUAAAAAGAAAAAGAUAGAUAAUGAUAUCAGAAUUUAUGUGGAAAACAUUCAAAAAGAUAAAAAAAAAUAUGGACUUACCACCAAUAAAAAAUUUCACUAUGAAGAACAAGCAAUGUGUAUAAUGAUUUACCUAACUCGAGUCUUUUAAUUUUUCAUAGACUUAACCAACACCUUCUCACUUUAGCCGAAUGCCUUGACCUUUCAAAAUAUACUUGACAUUCUCAUCAAUCUUGAUUUCAACCUCUCCUUGAAGCUUGCUUAAGAAGAAAAAUGAGUUUUUACUCAAUCCCAAAUAGAUCAUAAAAUGAGAGAAAAGAUAUUAACCUUUUUUUUUUCUUAAGAAAAUUUGUUGAAAGCAGCUUUAAAAUCAAUAAGAAAAUGAGAUUUUCUUGGCCACCAAACACCAUAAAUUUGGUAAGAAAAAAAAAAGUACAAGGGCAAAACGACUACUAGUGUCUCCCAUUUCAAAAGGCAAUUUUUGUUUUUUAAGUCAAAAGAAACUUUUAUCAAACGAUUGAAAUAACAUCAAGAAAGUGCAACUUGGAUUGAAUUAACAUAAAGUUGGAUCAAUCCUGGAACAUGACAUUUAAACACUUAACAAAAAAAAAUGCUUCCUAAAUCUCCUUUAACUCCUUAAAAUAUAUAUAUAUUUUAAGAAAAACAACAUUUAAAAAAUAUGGUUGAUUUAAUUUCAUCUAACUCUAACCUCAACUACAUGCUUUCAUCUUUUAGCAAAUCCAACAACUUAAUUUUCAUUAGACAAAUAGUUUGAAGAAGGAUUUGAAAAAUAAUUAUGAUCUAAAACUUAAGGAUUGUCUUUAUGUACUCAAGACUAGAAAGAAUCUUGUUUCAAUUUCUAAUUUAAAUAAAUGUGAUCAUUUAGUUUAUUUCAAUAAAUAUGUUUUUAUUAAAAAGAAUAAUUCAUUUAUUUACUCAAACCCAUAGGUUAACAUUCUCAAUCAUUUUACUUCUAGUUAUAUUCUACCUUAUGUUGAAAACAAUCAUAUCUCACUAACCAAACAUAUUUGUGGCAUUUAUGCUUAGGUUAUAUAAAUCUAAAUAGAAUUCAAAAACUAGUUAAGUCUAAAACAUCGUACUCAUUAGUUCCAAAAAAUCUUUUAGUUUGCGAAUACUGUAUAAAAGGUAAAAUGAUUAAGAGGUCCUUUAUUGCUACGGAGGUUAGAGCCAAAGAAUGUUUAGAGUUAAUGCAUCCUAAUGUGUAUGAACCCUUUAAUGUCCAUGCACGAGGAGGGCAUGAAUAUUGCAUCAUUUUUGUUGAUGAUUAAUCUAUGUAUAGUUAUGUUUAUCUUAUGCAUAAGAAAUCCAAUGUCUUGAAUGAAUUCAAGGGGUGUUUGUUACCUAGGAAUGAGGAGUGGAAAUAGAAAUCUCAUUCAUUCCCUUCUUCAUUUCUAUGUUUGAAUAAAUUUUACGAAUGUAGGAAUGAAAUAAAAAAUGAUUCUAAUAUAAAUCAAAUCUCACUUAUAAGUGAGAUUUCAAUCCAUCACAAGUAGGUGGUAUUCUAAUUCAUUUAUCCAUAAGAAAAUAUAAAAUAGCCUAACAUUACUAUUUUACCCUUGAAUUUCAUUUAUCGAGCUCUAAUGCGUUUUCAUCCCAUAACAAAACCAAUUUUUUUUUAGUUUUAUUAUUUUGCAAAAAAAAAAAAACACUCAAAAAUUAUUAUUUUAAAAUGAAAAUAAUUUUAUUUUUUAAACUAUAUGUAAGGGUAUUAUUGUUAAUUUAUUUAAUUUUCAUUAUCAUUUAUAUUAUUACCAAAACAUUAGAAUGAAAACAAAUAAUCAUUCUAAUAUUAAAUUCCUAGGUUCAUCUAAACACUAGAAAUAAAAUUACCAAAUUCAUUUUCAUUCACCAAAAAUAAGAAUGAAAACAAAAUAUCAAUUUUCAUUUUCUAUUCUUAUGUACCAAAUACCCUUUUAAUGAAUUUAAGGCAGAAUUGGAAAAUCAAUUAGGUAAACACCUCAAGGCAUCGAUCAAAUUGAGUUGGAUGGUACGUGUCUAGUGAGUAGGAUUCUUUCUUGGAAAAGCAUAAUAUUAGGUAAACAUCUAUGAAACAAUCAUUGUUGGAUGUUGAUUCUAAAUGUUUCUUCCCCUUUAUCGAGGUAAGAAAUGUCCACAAAGUAAGCAAGUCGGAGGCUUACUUUUUUUAAAUAAAAAAAGAAAAAAGAAAAUGCAAGACACGUACAAAUUAACACGUUUUUUUAUUUUCAUAAUAUGAAAAUCAUAUAAAAAAAAUAACAAAAUAUAUUUUAAAAUUAUAAUAUAAUUAUAUAUUUAAUAUAUAAAUAAAAUUAAAUAAUGCAAUUUUCCUUCCAUUUUUAAUAUAUAUCUUCAUGUUUAAAUAUUAUACAUAUUUUAUUUAAUAAAAUUUAAAAUAUUUAAACAUUUACAUUUAUGCAUGAUUUAAUUUGACAAUAUUAAAGAUGAAAAAUAAAUGUUAUUGCUUUAAAAAAAAUUUGUAUAUAUUUUAAUUAUUUAUAAUUAUUUUAUUUUAAUAAAAUAUUAAUUAUAUAUUUAUAAUGUGAUGGCAACAUUUCAACCCGAUCAAUGAUGGAAUGAUGAAAACAUUGAUCUUAUCCGAUUUUUGCAUGAACAAAAGGCGCAAAAGUUCUAUUUAGCCUUUUAAAGCCCAAAUACAGACCCAAUAAAAUUAUGGAAAACUUGUUUCAUGGGCCAAGCCCAUUAGUCUUUCAUUCGAGAAUUACACUACACUGCAUAAAGUUGUUUCCCCAAAGAUGUGGAAAUACACCAAAAUCACGUGCUUUAAUCUAUUUUAUUUUGUUAGAAAAAAAUUUGGUAUGAAAAGUAGUUUCAGUGCUACAAAUAUAUCUAGAUAUAUACUCUUAAUUGAUGUCUUCUUCAAAAUGGCCCCCAUAUUGUGUUCUAGCCACGAUAGAUAGUACGAUUGAGAUUAAUGAGAUCUCGCUUAGUUAAUCCUUGUGUACGUGGAAUGAAUGGAUGAGAAUUCUUGAAUACUUGACUAGUUCAGUGUUCACAUUAAUCCAUCCUGAAACAGUGGGCAGGUGCUUUCCUUAGCCCAUUGGGCCCUGCCAUCUACCUUGUGCAGCCCCAUUAGCGGACUUGCUUAUGUUUAUGGAAUGAAAAACCAUCACUCAAGGCAUAAAAAAAUGUGAUGACAAAGACAAAUAAUGGAACAAAGGAUAUAACCAAUGAAUUAUGAUGAAAAAUGAUGGUAGGAGGACAAAAAAAUAAUAAACAAGGUGAACUAGUAAGUCUGUGGCUCAUGAAACUUUUGAAUAAAGCAAAUAUACACUAGAGGGUCCCUAUUCUAGUGUAAAAGGUGAGCAAAGCUAUAAAAAAGAAAAUGUUAUGAUGCUCAUGCGAGGCUCAAAGGGCUAACAACGACCCAAAUGUCAAUAAAGGUAAUAGAGUGUGAGCUAAUCAAAAUGAAGGUCACACAUCUUUCAACCAUGGUCUCAAACAUUGUGCUCUCAAGACCUCAAAUGAUCAAUACUAAAGAUCGAUAUUCAUUUGAUAUAACCACGUCAACCCUCUGAAAUCGUGUGCCAAACCCUACUCCAGAUGCUCCAUAAUAAUCUCAAAGAUGAUCAUCUCAAAACAAAGUAAACAACCAUCUUGUCAAGCACAACUGCUCAUCACAAGCCAACUCUCAUUAUGCAAUACCAAUCUCUAUACUCAUGGCAGAAUAAGUGACAGUUUCAUCAGACAAUCAACCAAUCCUCACAUCAUAAACCAACCAAAGAUCAUAAGUCAUCCCUCGCCAUGUAAGAUCAACCCUAAGCUCAAACUCUUCACACUCUACCUAGUUGGAUUAGAUAGAGGAUGUGCAAAGCUAGAAAAGUUGAGGAUGAAAAGGUCAUAUAAUGGUGUCAAGGGUGAUGUGUAAAGCUCACAAUGCAUGGAUGUAGGUCAAAACAAAGUCAAGGUGUGAGAGUGAAUAAGGCACUGCUCUGAUCAUAAGAAGAUGGGUCACAGUCUCCAACUCCCUAAGUCAAAUAUGUGGUCCUAGGUUAAUAGGCUCAAUAUCCUCCAUGAUAAGUUAGGCUUCAAGACCAUAAUGUGCAAGUGAAAAGAUGUCUCAAGUAAAAAAACCUAACAUAACACAUGGUAUGUGGUCAUGUGAUGAUAAUCAAAAUUUGGAUGUAUGACAAAGACUAUAAAGUCAUAAAAGUGUCCACUAUGAGAUGACUACAAAUGUGAUUAAAGAAUUUCUAUGAGUGAUCUAAAAAAUGAAUGAGGUGUGAAAAACAACAUUGCCAGGAAAUCGAUACUCCAUCUAUAACAAAGUAUCCCUAAUUCACUUUCAACUUAAGCUCCAUAAAUAAAAAUGAUAAAGUGAUCAAGGCAGAUCUUUCAAAAAGGGUGUGAACGUGAAAACAUGUUUUUCACAUUUCUGUAAUGAAAAUAUCGAGUUGAAAAUAGAAUUAAGUGAAUCGACCAAAAUAAAGUAUCAAGCCCAUGAUAAGUGAAGAAUGUAAAAAGGUGAGCAUGAUCAAUGAGCAUACCCCAAAAUGUCAAGCACAAUGACAAUCAACCAAAAGAAUGUUAACUCAAGAAAGAAAAUAUGUCUAAAGCCCUAAGGGAAAACGUGCUAGACUCAACAAGCAAUAAGAAGAAACCAACACUAUACAACAAAGAGUGGUCCAACUGAUUCUCAAACUUGCACUGAUCUCUAAACACUCUCAACUGAAGACCCAAAGAUGGAGUAUUGGAUCCAUGCUAUGACUAAAGCAGCCCCAAAGGCUCUCAAAUGCACUCACGUGUAAGUAAGAAAUCCUAAUCAAAUGAUCUAAGACUCAACCUAAUAGGACAAAGCGGCUCUAAAAAGAAAAAAUGGUGGACUUUAAAGGAUCCUUAGCAAAAGAAAUCGUAUCUUUCCAUGGUACGCAACCUCAUGCACACCUCCAAAGAGACGGAGGCACUUCCAUGCAAUGUGGUCAUCACCUCCACACAUCCACUAUCUCUCAUCCUAGAGGAUUUCUUAAUGGUGAAGGUUGUCACAUCUCUCAAUACUCAAUGGUAAUCUAAGGUGCAUAAUGAACGGUGUGGGUGAACCCAAAAAUCCUAUCAAACUUAGCAAAAAGAAAACACAUCGGUCACACAAAUAUCCUGAAAAUCUAGCUCUAUGCUAUACAAGUCUUCAAAGAUUGGACUCUAAUCAGUAUCAAUGUGUUGACUUUCUCCAGAAUGCUCCCAAACAUAGAUAUAGACCAUUAUUAAACUCUACUCUGAAUCACCAGCUCGGUCGAAGAGCAAACAAAGUAACAAGUCUUGUAUCAAAUAUGAGAUCAAGAAAAACAAGGUCAAUCGAGACUAGAGAGUUAGAGGUAAGAGGAUAGAUGUGUGUCCCACACAGACAAGCAAUACAUGCAUCACAUAGAAAAAGAGCAAUUAUGCACCAAACAAUCAUGCAAAUAAUAUGUAUAUCACUCAUAUCUAUACACAAACUAGGCAUGAAUAUGAUAAGCAAGAUAGGUAUUUAACAUAAUAGACAAUAUGUUGAGACAAACAAAAUGUUAUACAACAAAGAUAAUCAAUCAUGUCAAGAUGAAUGAGAUAUACAAAAAUGAGAAUAUGCAUGUCAAGGAAAGCAAGAUAAUCAUACAACAAAAUGAGUCACUAUGAAAGGUAGAUAAGAGAAUCAAUCGAUAUAAUCAACAUGUGAACAUCUCCAAUGAACAAUAAUAACCAAACAUGCAUCAUGGAUAAACAUAUUGAAACUCUCAACGUGUAAUCAACACCCAAUCAUACAAAGGCACAUAGAGAGGGGUAUCCAUUGAUCAACCAAUCAAACACCAUAUUUCCCUCAACUCGAGUUCAAGUUUGACUCUCUAAACAUACCCAGUGGAGUCGCCAUUUUGUGGACCUGCGUUUUUCACGUGCGUCCCCGCUCGAACGACGAAAUUCGUUUUUUAUUUGGUGAAAAUUUUAUUUUUUAGAAAAAAACUUGAAGUCGCCACUUAUUUUUGUUUUAUUUUUUAAAGGGAAAACAAAAUAAGAAAGAAAACUCUAUAUGACUCCUUAUUUGGAAAAAACAUAUCUGUAAAAAAUCGAGUCUAAAUACAUGAGUCAAGUUACCUAUUGGGAAUGUACGAUGGUGAGCCAUAGAACCCCUCCAAGCCCGUAUACCUACAACUUAUACUAAAUGAAUUAAGGGAAUUGUAACAAUUAAUUAAUUAGUCAUGGAUACCAAGAAAAAGAAUUGCACAAAUGAGUAUGUACAAAUUAUGAUAAAAAAAAUCAAAUUAUAAGAAUAGAUAAAAUAAAUAACAAGAGAAUUAUGCAAAAUGAUUUAUUGAACUAAAAAAAAUAUUAAAAAAUUAAUUUUCAAGAAAUUUCAAAGGAUUUUAUUAAAAACAAUUUUGAAUUAAUGAUUUCAAUUUAUUUAUUUACAAAAAAAAUUCAAUUUAUUUUCAAUAAAUGAUUUAAUUUAAUGUAAUUUGUAUUCAAUUUAAAAAAAUGUUAUUUACACUUAUUGUUAUUAAAGGAAUUUAGUAAAAAAAAAUUCAAUUUGACAAUAAAAAAAUGAUUUUUACUUUUAAAAAAUGAUUUUUUACAAUUUUAUUUACAAAUGUAUUUUAAUUUGAUAUCUAUUUAAUUUUUAUUUUUUUUUACAAAUUUUAUUUACAAAAAUAUUGUCAAUCCAAUUUUCUUAAAAAAAAAAAAAAGAUUUCUACAACUUCAAUUUACAAAUUCCAUUCUUAUUAAAAAAGUUAUUUAAGGCUUUUAUCUACAAAAAUUACUUUUAAUUCCAUUAUACUUAAAUAGAGAGAAUUUAUCUAAAAAAACAUUUUUUUGAUCAAUUUUAUUAAAAUUUAACCUUUGGGACAAUUUUAUUUAAAAUAAUAAUAAUUUUUUUAACAAUUAUUAUUCUAUUAAAAACAAUUUUUUCAAAUUCUAUUAAAAACAAUUUUUAUUUUAUUUUUCUAAAAGCAUUUUUCUGAAUUUUUAUUAACAAAUAACUUUCUUUUAUUAAAAAGAAUAUUUUAAAACUAUUAUUUUAUUAAAACAUAUUUAUUGAAUUGUCUCUCUUAUUUAAACAAAAUUUCUUGUUUGUUCAAUGUUCAAUUCUAUAUAUAACAAGUAAAUAUAUACAAACAAAUAUUUAUAAAAACCACUAAAAAUAAAAUCAAAUAGUAGUGGAAAAUAAAAUAUGUACCCAAAUAAGCUUAUAAUAAGCUCAAUGUCUUCCUAUAGUUUUUCGAUUCUCACUUUAUUCCAUGAAAUUCUAUGCGCCACAUGUCAUAAAUUUAUAUUUAGCCAAUAAAAUUGCAAAAUGAACCCAUGGAAAAACAAAAAUAGUCCAAAUGUAAAUAUCUAGAAAUUUGCAAAGUUCAAAAUAAAUAUUCAACCUCAAAUUCAAAGUUCAAAUUAGUCCAGUAAAUUUCAUUAAUUAAAAAUGAGUCUGAAUUAGUAAAUAUAACCCAAUACAAAUAUUUUACAUGUUAUAAGCCUUUGUCCAAAAUUUUCAAAUUAAUAACCAAAAUAUAAACACAAUCAACCAAACUUAAAAUUUGAUAAACUAAAACAAAUUUCAUUAGGUCUAAACUUAAUUUCCCAUCAUCCAAACCUAAUUUAAUACACAAAUUCAAAUUCAUAACCAAAAUCAAACUCAAUUUAAUAUGAAAACCCACAUCCAGAAUAUAUCACAAUUGUCUUAUGCCAAAUUAAAAUCCAUAUCAACCACAAAUCCAUCCAACAAAUUUUAUUAACCACAAAUGAGCCCAAAUUUCAUAUUAAUUGACCAACAACAAAUUAAUCCAAAUUCCAUAUUAAUUAACUAAACACAAAUUUCAUAUUAAUUCAUCAACAAAUGAACCAAAAUUCCAAAUUAAAUCACCAACCCAACUUUCACAAACUAUUAUUAUUAAAAUCAAAGUAAGAAAAAUAAUAAUAAUAAUAAUAAAAUAAAACAAAAUAAACUUACAUCGUUUUUCUUUUUUUUGAGACCAUGGAAGGAAUAUUGGGGAUGGCAGUGUGUGGAGGUGGCAUCGUUAGCAAGCGGUUGAUAAUCAGUUGACAAAUAAAGCGGUGUAGUAGGUUUGGGUGGAGAGAAAGAAAAGAAAAGAAAACAAAAGAAAAUUAAAAUAAAAUAAAAUAAAAGGAAAAGAAAGAAAAAUGAUGGAAGGGGAGAUGAUGGUGUGGGUGUUGUGUGGUGUGUGUUGGAAGUGUCGUUGAAGUAGGAAAUGGAAAGAAGAUGGAAGAGUAAAAGAAAAAAAAUGGGGUCGUGUGGGUGUUCGUCGUGAGUGGCCGUGUGGGUGGAGAUGCAAUCUGAGCAAGUGGGGUGUGGUAGCAGUAGUGUGCAAAAGGAGAAGGAAGUGGAAGAGCAAAAGAAGCAAAAUUAUAAUAAAAAAAAUGGAGAAUUGUGUUUUGGGUUCAACUGGGCCCAAAAAUUAACAUUUGGUCCAUAUAACUUUUAUAAUUGAUGGAAAUGAUAUAAGAUGUUAAAAGACCAAUAUAUCCUUCAAAUUUCUAUAUAUUACCUUUUAAGGAUAUAAAAUAGUGAUGAAUUAAAAUACCCAAUGACCUUUGACAUAAGUUUUUUUUUUGUCUUUAUUGCACCACUAUUCAUGCAACCAUAAUAAUUUUAUUUUAACANNNNNNNNNNNNNNNNNNNNNNNNNNNNNNNNNNNNNNNNNNNNNNNNNNNNNNNNNNNNNNNNNNNNNNNNNNNNNNNNNNNNNNNNNNNNNNNNNNNNUAUCUAUUCUUAUAUUUUGAUUUUUUUUAUCCAUAAUUUGUACAUACUCAUUUGAUCAAUUUUUUUUAUUAGUAUGCAUGACUAAUUAAUUAUUUGUUACAAUUCCAUUAAUUCAAUUAGAAUAAGUUGUAGUUUUACGAGCUAGGAGUGAUUAUAAAUUUCGUCCUAAAACUUUUUCAAUAAAUACCUUGAAUACAAUUGGUAGUCUGGUUUUUUUUCUUUUCUUUUUCUUUUUGAAAAAACAUUUAAUUAAAAAAUGAAAACUAUUUUUUUAAAAAAAAAAUUGAAACCUUGUUUAGUACUAUUUUUUAUAUGAAAAUAAUAAAAAGAAUUAAAUUACAUUCAUUGAUUAUCCAUUUUUAUUUUUUUCCAUUAGUUAUUUUAAUAAAAAAAAUAAAAAAAUAUAGUAUGUUUACAAUUAAACAAAGAAAUUGAUCAAUUAUAUAUUUUUUGUGGGGCUAUCUUUUACAUGAAAAUAUAAUUAAAUAACUAAAUUAUAUAUAUUUAUUACUAUUUUUAAUUUAAUUUUAUUUAUUUAUUUUUUGUCUAAUAGAAAAUUUUAAUAUAUCCAUAAUUAGCUAAGUAAUAAGUCAAUUGUGCACAUUUUAAUCUAUUAAAAUAAAUUACUUUCUAAUUUAAAUAAAUAAAAUGAAAUAAGUAAAUAAAUUUGGGAUUAUUUCUGUUUUUUAACAUAUCUUAUAUCAAUAUUUUUUAUGGUUAAAUAAAUUUUUUAUUUUUUUUCUUUAAUUCAAAAAAUAAAAUGAAAUAAAUAAAUAAAUUUGGUAUUUUUUAACUGAUCUUAUAUUUAUAUUUCUUAUGGUUAAAUAAAUUUUUUAUUCUUUUUUCUUUAUUUCCAAAAAUAAAAGGAAAUAAAUAAAUAAACUUGGUUUAAAUAAUAGUUUUUUAAGUAAUUUCUUUGUCUUAUUUUUAAUUACAUUUUGUAUUGAAAAUAAAAUAAAAUAACGUUUUAUUUAUUUUAAUUAUUUUAAAUGUCAAACUAUUGGGAACAUAAUUUACACACUCAUGUGGAUAUAAUUUAUACAUAGAUAUGAAAUUUAUACCAUUAUACAAUAUUAUUACACUAAUUGUAAAAGAGGUGUGCAAAACUGUACAUUUUGAACAACUUUUUUUUUUCUUGUCAUCUAAGGAUUAUACGUUCUCUUACCACAAAUUCUUUUAUUUCAUGUACUUUAUUUAACUCGCAUAUAAAAAUUCAAAUACUUAUCUUAAUAAUGAUGUUUAGAGAAAAAUUUUGUUUUUACAUUUUAUAUCAUUUUUUAAAUCAAACCAUUUGAAACAUGGUUCACACAUCAUAUGUGACACAUAAUGUAUGCAUAUGAAUGAAAUUUGCACCAUUGUAUAAGGGUGUUAUACUAACUGUACAAGGUAAAUAUUCAAUUGGACAAGACAAAUGUUCCAAUUGUACAAGACAAAUGUUCUAACUAUACAAGGGGUAUACAAGGUUAUCCUUUAUGAAAGAUUUUAAUCAAUUUUGGACAACUUUUUUUUUUUAUCUUGUCAUCUAAGGAUUGCACACUCUUAAGGUACACAUUCCUCUAUUACACACUCAUCUUAUGCACUUUAUUUACAUGAUAAUUCGAAUACUUAUCCCACUAAGGAUGUUUGAGAUAAAAUUUUGUUUUUCCAUCUUCCGCUAUUUUUUGAAACAAACCAAUGAAAACAUGGUUAACCUACCUAUGGUUACACAUUGAGCCAGGGGUAUAUAGAAUUUGAGUCACUGUACAAGGUAUUUACACUAAGUGUACAUGACAAAUAUACUAACUGUACAAGGGUGUACAAGAUUAUUAUUUGUGAAGGAUUUUAAGUGAUUCUGAAAAACUUGUUUGUUUAUUUCCCCUAACCGAUGAUAAAUGACAUUCCUUACACACAUUAGUUAAACAUACAUUCAUCUUAUGCACUUUAUUUAACUUGAAAAGGUACCUCACUUAUGAUGAUUGUAAAACAAAAUUAUACAAUAAUUUUUCUUCUUUUUUAAAACCAAACCAAUGCAAACAUGGUUAAUCGACCUAUUGUCAGAUAUUCAUAAGAUGAUAUAUGAAAUUUGAGUUAUUGUACAAGGGUAUUAUACUAACUGUACAAGACAAAUUUACUAAUUGUACAAGGGUGUACAAGACUACUUUUUGUUAAGGAUUUCAAGUGAUUUUGAAAAACUUUCCCCCUUUUUUUUCCACUCAAAUAUUUUUUUCCCACUCAAAUUCUCUCACUCAAGAAUUGUUUCGAAUUUUAUUUUUAAAUUUCAUCAUCAAAAUUUUGUAAUUGCAUAUUUUGCUUUUGUAGUUUUAGCAAUGUUCUUUCUUUCCACUAUUUUUUUUUUUUUUUUUGUGAAAUUUUAUUCAAAUGAAUCUAUAUUUAAAAUUGUAAUAAUAUUUAUCAAUUUUUUUUACUAAGAUUAUAUUUAAUUCUUUUAAUAUAUUUAUACUCAUUUAUUUAAAAAAUGAAAAACCAAUUUUUUUUUUUUUUUGUAAACAUGCUCUAUUACCUUUCAAGUAAAAAAUUAGAUAAGUUUGAAAGUCAAUUAAAAAAAAAAUUAAAUACCACUUUCAAUAAUUUUUAGAUAAAAUUUUAUAUAAUAUGUUUUAUUUAAAAUUUAAUUUCUAAAGUUUAACUGUAUUGACAAUUUUCUUGUUGUGAGUCAAAAUACUUUGCAUUAGUCUAUCUAGAUAAGAAAAAUUAUUAAUAUAAUAUUAGAACUUCAUAUCUUAGUUAUUUUUUUCAAUAAAUUUAUCUUUUCAAAAAUUUUAAAAUAAAAACAUUAGAAAUUAAAAAGCUAAAAGGAUAUAUAUAUAUAUAUAUAUAUAUAUAUAUAUAUAUAUAUAUAAUAGAGUGAAGUGAUAGUCAAUUUUUAAAAUAUGGUUAAUGUAGAAAAUAUAAAAAAUAAUUAAAAAUAAGAGAAAAAUAUAAAUGAAAGGAUAAUAUAAAUUUAAAAUAAAAAAUGAAAAUUAAAUUAAAAGAUAAAUACAAAAAGAUAAAAAAUAUUUGGAUGAAAAAUUCCAAAAUUUUUAUCAUUGCUUAUAAUAGGAGCAAAAAGAUUCAAUAUCUUUAAAAAAAAAAAAACAUUAUUGCUUUUUAUUUGACAUAAAAUAGAAAUAUAGAUUAGAAAAAAAAAGAAAAAAAAGUUAGAAAUGAAUAAUACUUAAUAAGAAAUAGAAAUGGGAAAAAAAAUACAAAAAAAUUGAAAUUCACACUCAUUUGUGUCUAUGUAAGGGUUAAGGGUAUUUUAAGGAUUAAUGAAAGAUAAUAUUUUUCAUCUUAAUUUUCAUACUUUGUUUAGGUUUUGCACUUAAAUAUACAUGAUAUAUGGACCAAAUGUUAAUUUUUGGACCCAAUUGGGUUUAAAACACAAUUCUCCCAAAAAAAGAAGUUGGAGGAAGUUGUGGGGAGAUGUGCAGAAGAAGGUAAUGGGUAAAGCGGUUAAUUGGAGAGGGUAAGAUGGGAAGAAAGAGGAGAGAGGAAAAUGAGGAAAAUUAAAAGAAAAUAAUAAUAAUAAUAAUAAUAAUAAUAAUAAUAAUAAUAAAUAACAAAAUAAAUAAAUAAAUAAAUAAAUUUUGAAAAUUUUUGGUGUUUACAAAAUCAUUUAAAAAAAUAAUUAUCUCAUCUAUGAAAAAUUGCAUGGACGAAGAUAAAACGUUAUUUUUCUUGUAUAAUUUCAAAUUGUGAGUAAACUCCUACUUUUCCCAAAUUUUGUGUAAGUGGAAUGAAUGGAUGAAAUUUUUUGAAUAGCUAAAGAAAGAGGAGAGAGGAAAAUAAGGGAAAUUAAAAGAAAAAAGAAGGAAAAGAAAAUAAUAAUAAUAAUAAAUAAAAAUUUUAAAAAAAUUUGGGGUUUACAUAAUCACUUAAAAAAUAAUUAUCCCAUCUAUGAAAAAUUGCAUGGACGGAGAUAAAACGUUCCUUUUCACGUAUAAUUUCAAAUUGUGAGUAAACUCCCACUUUUCCCGGAUUAUUGCGUACAUGGAAUGAAUGGAUGGGAAUUCUUGAAUAGUUGAUUAGUUCGGUCUUCAUCCAUUAAUCCAUCUAGAAACAGUGGGCUUCUAGGUGCUUUCCUAAGCCCAUUGGGCCUGACACGACAGCCCAUAUGCCCUGUACAGCCCCAAUAGCUAACUUGCUUACGUGUAUGGAAAGAAAUGAAGCACGAGGGCACAACCAUGAUGCCAAGCCUUGGAAUUCAAUAAAGCAGUUUGAUAUUUCUCCGCCACCCCCACCCUAUAUAAACCUCUACCCAUUUCCACAUAAACCAUCAUCACCACCACUACAAAGAGCGUCUUCCUCAAAAUGGGCCUCUUUAGCUGACUUGCUUGCGUCUAUGGAAUGAAGUCAAGCACGAGGGCACAAAGAUAUAUGACGCACGAGGGCACAAAGAUAUAUGACGCCAUUCCUUGGAAUUCAAUAAAGCAGUUUGACAUUUCUCCGCCACCCCCACCCUAUAUAAACCUCUACCCAUUUCCACAUAAACCACCAUCACCACCACUACAAAGAGCGUCUUCCUCAAAAUGGGCCUCUUCAAAAGCCUCUCCAUUUCCUCCUUCCUUCUCAUCACCCUCUUCUUCACCUCCGCCCAUGCAGCCAUUUUCAAUAUCCAAAACCGUUGUUCCUACACAGUUUGGGCAGCAGCUGUGCCGGGUGGGGGUAGGCGCCUCGACCCGCGUCAGUCCUGGAGCUUGACUGUGAACCCUGGGACAACUGGAGCCCGUAUUUGGGCCCGGACCGGCUGCAGCUUCAAUGGGGCUGGGCGUGGGCGUUGUCAGACCGGGGACUGCGGUGGCGUCCUCCAAUGCACAGCCUAUGGUGCACCCCCCAACACCUUGGCUGAAUUCGCACUUAACCAGUUCAACAACCUGGACUUCUUUGAUAUAUCCUUGGUCGAUGGGUUUAAUGUGCCUAUGGCUUUUAACCCUACCUCCAAUGGGUGCUCCCGUGGAAUACGGUGCACGGCCAACAUCGUGGGACAGUGCCCCAAUCAGCUCCGAGCUCAGGGUGGCUGCAAUAACCCAUGCACCGUUUUCAAGACCGAUCCGUACUGUUGCAAUUCCGGGAGCUGUGGCCCUACAGAUUACUCAAGGUAUUUCAAGACUAGGUGCCCUGAUGCUUACAGCUACCCUAAGGAUGAUCAAACCAGCACCUUUACAUGCCCUGGUGGUACCAACUAUGAUGUUAUCUUCUGCCCAUAAAGCCUCUAUUAACUAUAGUAUGCAUGUACUCGCUAGUCCAAACUACUAGGGUGCUUUUGAGUCCAAAAGCCUAGAGGAAUAAAUUUGAAUAAAUUUGAGCACAUGUAUGUGUACUACAUGCGAUCGUGUAACAAAAUUUCUAAGCUAGUUGAAGAAAUGGAUGUUUUUACGAGGGAUUUUACCGAUAUUAUUAAGAAUGUGUUUUAUAGCGAUUUUAUAAAGUGUUUUUAAUUUUUUUUUAUAUUUGAAAGAUAAAAAGUUUUAAAUGUUAAAAAAAGUAAAAACAUUUUCUAAAAUUACUGUCAAAUACACUUUAAAAAUGGAUUUAAUAAUGAUUCUAAAAAGUUUUUAUAAUUAAAUAUGAAAAUUUUGAAGUAUUAAAAAAAACUAAAAAUAUUUUCUAAAAUUAUUAUCAAAUAUAUUCUAAAUAAUGUAGGACCUAAUAGAGAAACACUUUUGCAUAAGAAUUUUAAACAAAUAAAAAAAUAAAAAUCAUUCCAUCAAAAUAAUUCUAACUUUCUUUUUGUCUAAUUGGAUUCCAAGUAAGCUCGGUUUUUGUCCGCAAGACCAAUUGUUAAUUUAGUCUUUAGACCACUAGAAUGGAGGUUUCAAGGAAAAAGAAAAAAAAAGGGUUUGACUGUGAGCAGUGCUUUGCUGACUGACCUCACUCCCAAAUCAAUUUUCCAUGUGGUGGAACCGUGGAAGACGCCUUCCUUAAUGGGUAGGAGGCUGUUAAUGGAGAGUUUGGACUUUGGGGAGAAAUUGAUUGUUUCCCCACUCACUUUCAAUUAUAUCCAUUUACAUGGAAAUAUAUAGGAAAAGAAAAAAAUUUAAAAUUUUUCGUCAAAAGCAUCUCCUUCCAAUUGUUAUAUUAAAUAUUUUAUGAUUUCAAAUCUUUUCUGGUUUAAGUUUUGAAUUUACCCUAAUGAGUUUGCCUUUUUUUUUUUCUGUCCCUAUUUAAUAUAUAUAAUUAUGUAGAUUUUCCAUUUUGUCUUUCAUAGUACAUAAUUUUGACAAUAUUUAAUGUCUUUUGCUUGGUUCCCUGCAUAGCAUGUGCGUAGGAUUAUUUUUGGCUUUUAAAUCUGCUUGCAGCCUUCAUUGAACCGAAGUGGAUAGGAAGGGCUUGACUUAUUCGUAUACUCAGAGGGCACUCAACUCACUAGCAAUGCCCCACCAAAGUCGCGUGCAUUGAAUUGUAAAAUCGAUUGACUUUUUACUUUUACCUCUUAAACAAAAGGACACCUUCUCACUCCUUCCAAAUUUUUGAAAAAGAUAUAUAUAUAUAUCUAAAAACUGAAUUUAAUUAGAUUAUUUAUUAGAAAGGUAGGGUGAUCAUUCAUAACACUUCUCAAUACUCAUAUAUGUACUGUUUUUACUAAAUGAAUGAAAAGAAGUAUGAUGAUUAAUUAAUUAAUCAUGAAUAUUAAGAUUAAGAAGACAAAUCAAUAUAUAUAAAAAAAUAAUCAAAUCAAAAUAAUGCACAAAAUAAAUGACAAGAAAAUUUUACAAAAUAAUUUAUUAAACAAAUUUAAAAUAUAUAUAUUUCAAAAAAUUAUUCUUUUAAGAAUUUCGAAAAAAAAUUAUUAAAAACAAUUUCGAAUAAAUAAUUUCAAUUUAUUUUUUAUUUUUAAAAAGUUUCAAUUUAUUUCCAACAAAUGAUUUGAUUUAAUUUUAUUUAUAUUCAAUUUAUAUAUUUUUUUUAAAUAAUUACACUUAUUUUAUCAAAAGAUUUUUUUUAAAAAAAAGGAAAAUUCAAUUCCACAAUAAAAAUGAUUUUUACUUGCUUUUAUUAGAAAAAAAAAAAGAAUUUUUACAACUUUAUUUUCAAAAAUAAUUUAAUUUUAUUUUAUUUACAAAGAAUUAAUUUCUUUACAAUAAAAUAUUUUCAAUCCAAUUUUAUCAAGAAAAUUAUUUUUACAACUUCAAUUUGCAAAAAAAACUUUCAUUUUAUUUUUAUUAAAAUAUUAUUCAAGACAUUUAUUUAUGAAAAUUAUUUUUAAUGUCAUUCUAAUUAAGGAAAGAUAACUUAUUUAAAUUUUUUGGAUAAUUUUAUUAAAAAAAACCUUUUGGACAAUUUCAUUUAAAAAUCAAUUUUUUUGAACAAUUUUAAUUAAACAAAAUAAAUUUUAGACAAUUAUUAAAAACAAUUUUUUAAAAUUUUAAUUAAAAACAAUUUUAGAAUUCCUUUAAAAACAUUUUUUGAAUUUUUUUAUUAAGCAAACUUUCUUUUAUUUAAAAGAAUCAUUUUAGAAAUAUUAUUUUAUUAAAAAAUAUUUAUUAAAUGGUUCCUCUUAUUUAAACAAAAAUUUUGGUUUGUUGUGAAUAUUUAAACAAAAUUUUUGGGUUUGAAUCAAUACAAAUAAAACCAAAUAAAAGUGAAAAUAAAAUGUAUAUCCAACAAGCCUACAACUCUUUUUUCUUCAUGAAAUUCAACCUUUCAUGUGUCUCGAAUCCAUACUUAGACAGAAUACCAAUGAGAGUAGUGGAAUGGGCCAUGAAAAACAAAAAUUAGUCCAAAAGUAAGUAUUUGGAAAUAUGCAAAAUCCAAAAUAAAUAUUCAAACCCAAAUUCUAUAAGCCCAAUAGGAAAAUUCAAAUUGGUCCAAUGAAUUUCACCAAUGAAAAUAAAUCAAAUUAACAAGUAUAACCCAACAAAAAUAUCUCAUUUGCUAUAAGCAUUAGUUCAAAAUUUUCAAAUUAAUAACCAAAAUCUAAUAUCCAUCAACAAGCCACAAAUCAAAAUAAUCUCAAUUAAGCCUAAGCCCAAUUUAAUACGCAAACUCAAAUUCAUAAUCAAAAUCAAACUCAAUUUAAUAUACAUACCUAAAUAAUAUCUAAAAUAUAUCACAAUAUUAUCUCAUACCCGAAUUAAAUAAUUCAUGAGCAAAACCUAUAUCAAAUGUCAAUCAAUCCAAUAAAUUUUACCAAUAAUAAAAUAGCUUAAAUUUCAUAUUAAUUAAUAAACUCAGAACGUGAUAAAUCAAAAUAAAUUGAAUCAAACAUAAAUUCAAUAUCUUAUAAUUUAAGCCUAAUUGAAUAUUCAAAUCCAAAAUCCAAUAAUCACCAAAUCCAAAUACAACAUAAACUAACAAACCCGAAUUUAUAUGAAUACAAAUCAAAAUAUAAGGUCCAAAAUGAUCCAGAUUAUCUAAGCUUACAAAUAAUGUCUAAAUGCACACAUGAAAAUAAUAAAAAUUAGCCCAAACCAAUAAUCUCAAUAAUCAAGAACAAAUUAUUGUAGUGAUUAAACAGAAAUAAUAAAAAUAUAAGGAUAUAAACUUACCCAUGAAGAACCCAUUAUAGUAAUUAAACAUAAAUAACAAAAAUAAAAGAAAAUAAAUUUGCCCAAAUUUGAAGUAUAUUGUUGAAGGGUUGAUAUAGGCUAAUGAAAAUAAAAAUAAAAAUAAAAUGAAAGAAGAUAGAGAGGGAAAGAAAGAGAAAAUGGUGAGAUGAAAGAUAGGUGGAAAGGGAGAACGAAAGAGGAAAGGGGGUCGCCGGCCGGCAGCAGAUCACCGAUGGAGACGGACCAACUGUGUUGUCGAUAGUGAGGGUUGAGUGAGUGUGGUGAGGGAAAAAUGAAGAAGAAAAAUGAAGAGAAGAAAAAAAAAAAAAAGAAAGGUGGGGCAUGUUCUCUGGAAGUGGGCCAAGAGGGGAGAAAAAGCGGGGAAAAAAAGAAGAUGAAAGAAAAUGAAAGAAAAGAGAGGAAAAUGGAAAUGGAAGAGAGGAGAGCGGGGGAUAUGGGGUCUCUGACGUGGGAGUGGGCAGGAGAGAGAGAGUUGAGGGAGUGGGUGGAGUAGGUGAGAGAAAAAGAAAGAAAAGAAAAUAAAAGAGGGAGGGAAGGAAGGAAAUGAGAAAAAAAGAAGAAGUAAAAUAAAAUUAGAUAAAAUAAUAAAAAAUUAAAAAUUAACAUUUAAAAUAUAUAAAUAGGUUAAAAAAAUUCAAACUAAGAUUUAAAAAAUAUAAAUGGACCAAAAAAUUUAAAUUUCGAUUUAAAAGGUAUAUAUGAAUAAAAAAAAAAUCAAAUGUAAUCCAUUUGAAAUAUAAUAAUAAAAUUAAACAUAAAAUUAAUGUAAAAAAAAAAUAGAAGAAAUUUUAAGAUUACAAAAAGUAUAGGGCAUGGUACAAAUUUAUUUUUAUUAUUUAAAUAAAAAAAGAUUAUCUUAAAACAUUACUUUAUUUUUUAAAAUAAGAAAUAAUUUUUAAGAAUUUAUUCUUGAAAUGAGGAGAGUGUUUAGAAUAUUUUUUUCACUUACUUUCUAAAAAAAUAUUAUAAAAAUUAAAUUAAUAAAUAUGCAGAAUAAUUAAAAGUAAAAUGUUAUAUACAAAAGUUAUUUUAAAAAAUAUAUUAACAAAAAUCAAAUUUCGAAACGGACUUCUUCUAUUAAAAAAAUAUUAAAAAUGGUUUGAAGCAUAUAUUCAAAAGUCGUCUUUUGAGAGUAGAUUUCAAAAAUAUUUCCAAAUAGAUUUUAACAUAUCAUUUCAAAGUGAUUCUAAUUAAAAUAUUUUGAUUUAUACUUUUUUAUUCAAAAUAUUUUGAUCAACUUUUAAAUAUAAAACCAAUUCAAAAAUAUCCUCAACACAUAUUAUUUAAUCAUAAAAAUUCUCAUAAUUUUUUUAUUCUUCAAAUACUUUCCAACAAAUAGUCAAAGUCACAUGCAAACUCUUCCAACAAAUUUCAAAUGCAAGCCACAUACAUAUGCAACACUCCUUAACAUGAUUCGUAAGAAUAAUUUCUCAGUGACACAAAUUUCAAUUUCUACUAAAUAUCUAUAUCAAAAUAAAUAGAAAAAAAAAUUCAAGAUAUCCAAAGAUGAUCACACCUAUUUCAGUUCAUUGUUCUUCCAUUCAAUUUAUAUCCACAAGUAAUAAAUGAAAACUAAAACUGAAAAUAAAUCAAAGAAUAUAAUAAAAAUAAAUAAAUAAAUAAUGAUAUCAGAAUUUACGUAGAAAACUUUCAAAAAGAUUAAUAAAACACGAACUUACCAUCAAUAAAAAAUUCCACUAUAAAAAAUAAAUAAUGUGUACAACGAUUUACCUAACUCAAAUCUUUUAAUCUUUCGUAGACUUAACCAACACUUUCUCACUUCAAUAGCAUAUCCUCAUCUUUCAUAAUAUACUUGGCCUUUUCAUUAUACUUGGCCUUUUCAUUAUACUUGAUCUUAACCUCUUCUUAAAGCUUGUUUAAGAAGAAAAAUGGGUUUUUUACCCAAACCCAAAUAGAUCAAAAAUUGAGAGAAUGAAUGAAUAAAUAGAUUAACCUUUUUUUUUUCUCAAGAAAAUUUAUUGAAAGCGACUUUAAAAUCAAUAAGAAAAUGAGAUUUUCUUGACCACCAAACACCGUAAAUUUGGUAAGAAAAAAAAGUACAAGGGCAAAAUAACUAUAUAUAUAUAUAUAUAUAUAUAUAUAUAUUAUUUUGUUAGAAAAAAAAUUUGAUAUAAAAAGUAGUUUUAGUGCUACAAAUAUAUCUAUAUAUAUAUAUAUAUAUACUCUUAAUUGAUAUCUUCUUCAAAAUGGUCCCCAUACUGUGUUCUAGCCACGACAGAUAAUACGAUUGAGAUUAAUGAGACGGCACUUAGAUAAUUCUUGUGUACGUGGAAUGAAUGGAUGGGAAUUCUUGAAUACUUAAAUACUUGACUUGUUCAAUGUUGUGGGCUUCAAGGUGCUUUCCUUAGCCCAUUGGGCCCUGCCAUCUACCCUGUGCAGCCCCAUUAGCUGACUUGCUUGCGUCUAUGGAAUGAAGUCAUACACGAGGGCACAAAGAUAUAUGACGCCAUUCCUUGGAAUUUAAUAAAAGCUGUUUCCCAUUUCUCCGCCGCCCCCACCCUAUAUAAACCCCUACCCAUUUUUCCAAAGGUUGAAUUCAAUUUAAAUAACAAAUCCAUCUUUAUAAAGUGAAAAAUAAAUUUGUUUUUUCAAAAAUCAAGUUUAAUAUUAAAAUAAAACAGAUAAGAGAUUAAAAACAAAAGUUACAAAACGGACAAGAGAGAAGAAUGGAAUGUGGUAAAAAAAAAACACAUUUUGUAUUUAUUUUUAAAUAACAAUUUUAGUAAUGAUUUUAUAAGGUGUUUUUAAUAUUUAAAAAAAAAUUAAAAAUACUUGUUAAAAUAAUUGUGAAACGCAUUGUUAGACUUUUUAGACCAUACAGGUUUCAGGGAAAAAACAAUAAAAAAUAAAAUAAAGAAGAUUUGAUUGUGAGCAAAGCUUUCAAUUUUCCAUGUAGUGGAAGAAGCCUUCUAUAUGGGUAUUUUAUUUUGUCCUCAUAACAUGAUAUUUAUCAUAUUUGGUAUUUGCAUAGUAUAUAUACAAAAUUCUUUUUGAUUUUUCUACUCUUUGCACUUCUUAGUGGUCUUUCUAUUACUUUUAUACAUAAUAAAAGUCAAUAACUAAAUGUAGAGAUUUUUUGCGGGCCCAAAAAUCACACGGUUAGUUCAUGGAGUUGCUUUCGGAGAGGCCUGAACCACCCACCAAAGUUGAGCUUAUCUCUUCGCUUUUACAUCUUAAAUGACACUAGAAAAAGGUAUAUGGCAUAGUAGAAAACUAUUUUUAAUUUUUUUUUUAUUAUUUAAAUAAUUUUUUUUUACCUGAAAACUUUUAUUAUUAUUUUAAAUAAGAAAUUGUUUUUUAAUUAUUUAUUCUAAAAAUGAGAAGAAAGUGUUAAGAAUAUUUUUUUCACUUAUUUUCUGAGAAUCAUUUAAAAAAUUUAAUUAUAUAAAUAUUGAGAAGAGUUGAAAAUAAAACAUUACAUAUAAUUUUUAAAAAUAUAAAAAUUUUAUUAAAAAUAUUUCAAGUUUCUAAACAUGCUUCUAGUAAAAAAAAAAAUUAAAAAUUGUUUGAAACAUAUUUUCAAAAAUUAAUUUUGGACAACAGUUUUAAAAAAUAUUUCCAAAUAGACCAUGAAAUAUCAUUUCAAAAUGAUUUUAAUUAAAGUUGUGCAGAGUAUUUUAACAAUGAUAUGGACCUUAUCUGGAAAAUAUUUUAAAUAAAAAAUAUAUGUUUAUUUAAAUUUGCGCCAUUGUAUUUGCUUACAAGUUUAUUUAUUGUCAUGUUUCAGAAAAAAAUAUCAGCUUCAGUUGAAAAGUUUUGAAAGAUACUUCGUAGUGGACCCACAUGGAUCACGAAUCCAUCUAAAACCCAACAUUUACGGGCUUUCCAUGACAUUGGGCCCAGUCACGUGUCUUUUAAGUGGAAAGUAAACUUUGGAUUUUCUCUUCUCUGGACUGGGUUGCUUCUCAGUAUCUUAAACGAUAAAUGAUGAUAUUAUCGAAAAUAGUCCCAGUCUCAGAAUAAUUGAAGUGGCCAAUCAUAUUGGAAUAAUUCAACAGGCUGUCUCAUUGAAUUUUGAAAUAAAUUUUUCCAACAACAUCCACCGACGUUUUUCUCAUUCAGCAUUCGGUAUUUAUGAAUUUACAUAAAAGUUAGGCAGAUUUCUGAAAUUAUAAAAAAUAAAAAUAAAAAUGACAAUGACGUGGGGCCUCGUCUCUGCAAAAUAUUUUAAAUAAAAUUAUUUAUUUUCUAAAAACAAACCUUUUUCAUUUGAAAAAAAAAAUUAUUGGCUUUUGAUGAUAAGGUUUGUGGAAGAAAAAGGCCAUCCCGCAUUGACUCUUUCUUUCAUGCCUACGAGUCACAACGAAGUCGACCACAAAGAUGAUGCCAUCAUUUGGAAUUUUUACAAGGCUUUAUGCACGCGGUUUUUCCACACUCACACCAACCCAAGCCCUCCUUCACACUAUACAAACCCUUUCUUCAAAUUGAUAAAUGAUAGUUUUUUUCAUUCAUACUUUCAUUUGUUCAUAUACAGAGUAUAUAUAGAGGGUAAUCAUCAUUCUAAGAAUGAGAAAGAAUAAUACAAGGAAAGAAUGAUAUAAGGAAAUAACAACUAAUAUCCUAAUAUCUCAACUUUCCUAAUAUUUCAAUAUUCCUAGUAUCUCAAUAUUCAUAAUAUCUCAAUAUUCAUAAUAUCUCAACAUUCCUAAUAUCUAAACAUUCCUAAUAUCUCAAUACUAAAUGAUAUAAGGAAAGAAUGAUAUAAGGAAAGCAUUCCUAAUAUCUCAACACUCCCCCUCAAGUUGGUGCAUAGAUGUCACACAUACCCAACUUGUCUAAAAAUUUUGAGAACACUUGACUUGAGACAGCUUUGGUAAGGAUAUCGGCCAAUUGAUCUUCUGAUCGAAUCUUAGGCAAUUCCACAAUCUUAUCAUCCAACUUUUCCUUAAUGAAGAAUCUAUCCACCUCGACAUGCUUUGUAUGAUCAUGUUGUACUGGAUUAUGAGUAAUGUCACAUGCGGCUUUAUUGUCACAAAACAAUCGGAUUGGUUGCCUAGAUAGGUAACUUAAAUCCUGUAAGAGGAGUCUUACCCAUAAUGCCUCACAAAGUCCUAGAGUCAUAUCUCUAAAUUCCGCUUCUGCACUUGAAUGAGCGACGACAUUCUGCUUCUUACUUUUCCAUGUCACAAGAUUACCACGUACAAAGGUAAAGUAACCAGAUGUAGAUCGCCUAUCAUCCACUGCACCGGCCCAAUCAGCAUCAGUAUAUACUUCUAUACUCUGAUGAUCAACAUUUUUAGUGAACAAAAUUCCCUUCCCAGGAGCAUUCUUCAAAUACCUCAAAAUAUGCAUGACUGCAUUCAUAUGUUGCUCUCCAGGAUUAUGCAUGUAGUGACUCACUACACUCAAUGCAUAAGCAAGAUCUGGUCUUGUAUGAGCUAAGUACAUUAAUCUCCCCACAAGUCUCUGGUAUCUUCCUUUAUUGGUUGAUACUUGAUUAGGCUCAACACACAAUUUCAGACCUUCUUCUAUUGGUGUAUUAACAGGUUGACAUCCCGACAUUCCAGUCUCCUGUAAAAGAUCUAAGGCAUACUUUCUUUGAGACAAAAAAAUUCCUUCACUUGAUCGAGAAACUUCAAUCCUAAGAAAGUAUUUCAGAGGACCUAGAUCUUUCAUUUCGAAUUCUUUAGAUAGAUAAUUUUGCAGAGCUUUUCUUUCUUCAGGAUCAUUUCCUGUAACUACCAUGUCAUCCACAUAUACGAUGAGUGUCGUAAUCUUACCAUGUUGCUUUUUUAGGAAUAAAGUGUGAUCUGAAUUACUUUGACGAUAGCCAAAAGCUCUCAUUAACUUUGUGAACCUUCCAAACCAUGCUCUCGGGGAUUGCUUCAACCCAUACAAUGACUUCUUCAAUUUGCACACCUUCUGACAUUGCUUUUCUAACACCAUGCAUCCUGGUGGAAGAUCCAUAUAUACUUCUUUAGAUAACUCGCCAUGAAGAAAAGCAUUUUUCACAUCGAAUUGUUGUAAUGGCCAAUCUAGGUUUGCAGCUAAAGACAAUAAUACUCGAAUUGUGUUGAUCUUAGUUACAGGUGCAAAUGUCUCUGUGUAGUCAAUUCCAUAAGUUUGAGUGUACCCUUUUGCUACCAGUCUUGCUUUAAAUCGUUCAAUACUACCAUCUGCCUUGUACUUCGCAGUAUAGAUCCAACGACACCCAACUGGCUUCUUUCCUGGUGGACAUUCUACGAGUUCCCAUGUUUCAUUCUUCUGCAAUGAUUUCAUCUCUUCAUUCAUGACUGCUUUCCACCUUGGAUCAGCUAAGGCUUCUUGCACACUGUUAGGAAUAGAUACAGUAGAUAAUUGAUUUACAAAUGACUUAUUUGAUUCAGACAAACGAUGGGUAGACACAUAGUUGCUCAUGAGAUAUUUGACUUUAUUAGGCAAUUCAGGUUCAUAUGUGGGUUUAGGAAUACCUCUAUUAUGACGAUGUGGUAACCGUUUCAUGAAUGGAUCAGGUUCCAAAUUAAGAACACCCUCAACAGACGACGAUUGGUUUGGUAUUUCAGUGAAGAUAACUUCGGACCCAAAUGUGCAACUAGUGCCAUGAUUAUCCUGAAAGAGUCCUUCGUAGAAACUGGAGAGAAGGUCUCUUUGAAGUCAAUUCCUUCUUUUUGAGUAAAGCCUUUAGCUACAAGACGUGCUUUAUAUCUUUCUACAUUACCAUUUGAAUCCCGCUUGGUUUUAAAUAUCCAUUUACAACCAAUGGGCUUCGUGCCAACUGGUAAUGGGACAAGUUCCCAAACUUUAUUGUCUUGCAUAGAUUUGUACUCUUCAUUCAUGGCUUCAAUCCAUUUCUGAGAGUUGGAACUUUUCAUGGCUUGCUGGAAGUUGAUUGGAUCAUCUUCCAUCAUUCCACUUUCUACCCCACGUUCCUAGAGAUAUACGAUAUAAUCGUCCGAAAUUACAUUUCUCCUCUCUCUAGUGGAUCUCCUUAAUAGCAUAUUUUCUUGAGGUUGUUGAGUUUGUUCUUCAAGAGCAAUGUCCUCAUUUGCAAUUAAGGGUUGAACAAUAUUGUCUAUUGGUUAAGGAUCCAAAUUUACUUCUUGAUCGAUGAUAGGUAGUGAAACCUGUACAUUAUCAAAAGCAAUAGUAGAUCCCUCUUCCUCCUCAAAGACAAUAUUCCUAGCCUGAUUUCUCCCCCCAAACUCAACAUCCUCAAAAAAUGUUGCAGUUCUCGUCUCAAAAAUUGACCUAAAAGCAGGAUCAUAAAAUUUAAAACCCCUUGAUCGCUCUGCAUAGCCAAUAAAGUAGUUGCUAACUGUUUUAGAGUCCAAUUUCUUUUCAUGAGGCUUAUAAGGUCUCGCUUCAGCUGGACAUCCCCAAAUAUGGAAAUGCUUUAAACUGGGCUUUCGACCCGUCCAAAGCUCAUAAGGCAUUUUAGCAGCCGCUUUAGUUGGCACCCGAUUUAGGAUAUAAGCUGCCGUUUUAAGUGCUUCACCCCAGAGUUUUUCGGGUAAAGUAGAAUGACUAAUCAUACUCCUUACCAUGUCCUUAAGAGUUCGGUUUCGUCUUUCUGCUACACCAUUCAUGCUAGGUGAUCCUGGCAUGGUGUAUUAAGGGACGAUCCCACAUUCCUCUAGGUAUUUAGCAAAUGGUCCUGGACGUUGUUCACCUGAUCCGUCAUAUCUACCAUAGUAUUCACCACCACGGUUAGAUCUGACGCUCUUUAUUCUUUUGUUGAGUUGUAACUCAACUUCUGCUUUAAAUGUUUUGAACACGUCCAAUGAUUGUGAUUUCUCAUGUAUAAGAAAUAGGUAGCCAUAUCUUGAAUAGUCGUCUAUGAAUGUUAUAAAGUACUGUUGACCAUUCCAAGAUAUCGUAGGGUAUGGUCCACAGAUAUCUGUAUGAAUUAAUUCUAAGACGUUUGUAGCUCUAUUGGCACCUAAUUUCUUUGUUUUGGUCUGUUUUCCUUUAAUACACUCAACACAAAUAUCAAAAUCUGAAAAGUUAAGUGAAUCCAAAAUCCCAUCGGACACAAGUCGCUCAACUCUAGAUUUAGAGAUAUGACCUAGGCGUUUGUGCCAUAAUGAGGCCGAAUUAUCUUUAUUCAAUUUACGUUUUGUACCUCGUGAUUCCACAUGCAAGGUUUCAUUAUAGGACGGAACAGUUUCCAACAAAUAUAGAUUAUCAUAAACAUUAAGUAAACCGGUUCCUACAACAUUUGAAAUAAUAGAUAAUGUAAAUCUAUUGUUUCCAAAUGAACAACAAUAACCUGAUUUGUCCAAAACAGAAACUGAAAUUAAAUUCCGUCUGAAAGACGGUACAACAAAAGUAUCUAUUGAAUCCAAAAAAUAACCAGAUUUCAAUAAUAAUCUAAAGUGCCCUAUUGUCUCUACUUCUAUCGACUGACCGUCUCCGACAUAGAUGCAUCUUUCAGCAUCACUUGGUUUUCGGUAACUCAGGCAACCCUGCAUAGAAACACAAAUAUGAAUAGUAGCACCAGAAUCUAACCACCAUGUGUUUCUAGAUACUGAAGCUAAAUUAACUUCAGAACAUACCAAAGUAAGAAAUAUACCUUUCUUAACACGCCAAGUAGCAUACUUGGUACAUUCCUUCUUAGUAUGUCCAGGCUUAUUACAGAAGAAACAUGUUACCUCAACUUUCUGUUUCUUUUGUUCUGGACCAUUAGAAGCAACAACCUUAUUAUUCUUAUUCUUUCGUUUGCCCUUAUCCUUGGAAGUGCUAGCCAGAAGAGCACUUUCGGUCUUGUCUUGCUUCAAUCUCUCUUCCUCUUGCACACAGAAUGAAAUGAGCUCAUUAAGAGUCCAUUUAUCCUUUUGAUAGUUAUAACUGACCUUGAAUUAAUUAAAUUGUGCAGGAAGAGAGAUGAGAACCAAAUGCACGAGUAAAUCAUCAGAUAACUCGAGUUUCAAAGCCUUAAGUUUUGAAGCAAGAUGAGACAUCCCCAUGAUGUACUCCCGAACAUUACCCUUGCCUUUAUACUUCAUUGAAAUCAAGCUUGCUAAAAGCGUGCUCGUUUCAGCCUUAUCGUUUUUGGCAAAACGUUUCUGAAUUUCCGCAAGGAAGUCACUGGCAUUAGUAACCUCAUCGGUUACCGCACCCCUGAAAGCUUCUGGAAUGCCGCGCUUCAUGAUCAUAAGACUUAGCCUAUUUGAACGUUCCCACUUACCCCAAUAAACCUCAUGCUCUUGAGUACUUUCCUCAUUGAGUUCAUCGGGUUUGGGCAUUCUCAAGGCUAAGUCUAUAUCCAUGCAGCCUAAGAGAAUCAUCAUAUUCUCUUUCUAGUCCUUAAAAUUAGUCUCAUUUAACAUAGGGACAUUAUUGAUGUUGGCAGAUAUAGAAGUAGUUGAUAUAAAAGUUGAAUCGAAAACAAAAUAAAAUAAAUCAAAUAAACCAUCAUGCUCACAUAAAAUAAGCAAUUAAACACAUAAUCUUUAAAUUUAAAAGCAAAUUAUGACAUUUCAAGAUACCUAGCACAACAUUAAUAUCAAGUCUUUGGACAGUAAUAUUAACUAUAAGUGGUACUCUUGUUGUAGUGAUCAAACAUUGAUGAUAAGUUAUGUCAAAUAAUAAAUCUAUCUUUGGAUUGAUUUAUUAUUCACAUUAAGUUACCUUUAUAAUCAUCACAUAUUUAUCACCACAGGUAUGUAUGCAAUUUGACCAAAUAUUAACUUUCCUUUGGGCCAGUCAAUACCCGCAUGAAUCACAUACACACGAAUAUCUAACACCCUGAACAGACUAAUCUACACGAAAGAUGUCACUUUGGUGAUUUUCCGCUUUAAUUAACCUAUUUAAAAUGCUAGAUCAAUAACUUAAAUAUUAAUAUCAUAAAAUGCUAUUAAAUAAUAAUAAUAAUAAUAAUAAUAAUAGUAAAAAAAAAAACAAAUUUAUUUAAUACAAAAAAAAAUAAAUUAAAACUUAAUAUAUUAUUAUAAGAAUAUGAUAAAUACUGCAGCAGCAAGGGAUAAAGGCCUUUUAUACUCAUAUAUACAUAUAUAUAUAUAUAUAUAUAUAUAUAUAUAUAUAUAUUUGAAACUUUAACAGAAUCAUCACCUACUAUUCCCAAAGAAAUUUCUAAGAUAUAUCAUUGGAAAUGUAAUACUUUUGACUUCAAAUACAAAUUUUUUUUGCACCUCUUUUCUUAACCAAUGAAUGUAUCUAUGUAUACUCUUAUAUUAAUACAAUCGAUUUCUAUUGACUUUAUCAAAACGAUCCACUGGUUUGUCAAACGAUUUAUGAAACGAUUUAUUGGUUUAUCAAACGAUUGUAUUUAUUCUGCCGAUAAAUCGCUUGAUAAACCAAUAGAAACCGAUUGCGGAAUAAAAAAAUAAAAAAUAUCAACUCAAUAUUUCAUAAAUCUUAAUCCAUUGACAUAUAUACAUAUAUAUAUAUAUAUAUAUAUUAAAAUAAUAACUCAAAGAAUUAAUCAAGGAGUAGGCUCUGAUACCACUUGUUAUAAUCAAACAAGAUGAAUACCCUAAUUUCAUAUAUACUGGAAUCUCCUGAUUAAAAAACAAUGAGUAGAAAAAUAAUAGCGGAAGCAUACCUGAAUCUAUUGAGGGAGAAACCUUAUAGGAAGAAAACCCUUUGAGAUGGUCUUCCAAUUCUAGCCACUAGAUUCUGUGUCAAUUUCUCUCUGAGAGGAUUUUUCAGAAAUUAGAAUGCGUAGUCGUAGAAUGGGGACCAUAACCCUAUUUAUAAACCGCUAGGGCAGUUUUAAUUUUAUCACAAUUAUAUUUCUGCCCCUCAUAGAAAUAAUAAUUAUCUAAUGGUAUCUACACAAUAAUCUCAUGACAAUUAUACCCUUAAGCCAAUUAAUCAAUUAUUAAUUAGAUCACUAUAUUUAGGCUUAAUUAAAUGAUAGCACACACAUUUUAAUUAUUUACAUGUGUGGUCCAAAUUAUAGAUUAAUUACAAAAAUUAAUCUAACAUCUUCCUCAAAAUGGGCCUCUUCAAAAGCCUCUCCAUUUCCUCCUUGCUUCUCAUCACCCUCUUCUUCACCUCCGCCCAUGCAGCCAUUUUCAAUAUCCAAAACCGUUGUUCCUACACAGUUUGGGCAGCAGCUGUGCCGGGUGGGGGUAGGCGCCUCGACCCGCGUCAGUCCUGGAGCUCGACUGUGAACCCUGGGACAACUGGAGCCCGUAUUUGGGCCCGGACCGGCUGCAGCUUCGAUGGGGCUGGGCGUGGGCGUUGUCAGACCGGGGACUGCGGUGGCGUCCUCGAAUGCACAGCCUAUGGUGCACCCCCCAACACCUUGGCUGAAUUCGCACUUAACCAGUUCAACAACCUGGACUUCUUUGAUAUAUCCUUGGUCGAUGGGUUUAAUGUGCCUAUGGCUUUUAGCCCCACCUCCAAUGGGUGCUCCCGUGGAAUACGGUGCACGGCCAACAUCGUGGGACAGUGCCCCAGUCAGCUUCGAGCUCAGGGUGGCUGCAAUAACCCAUGCACCGUUUUCAAGACCGAUCAGUACUGUUGCAAUUCCGGGAGCUGUGGCCCUACAGAUUACUCAAGGUAUUUCAAGACUAGGUGCCCUGAUGCUUACAGCUACCCUAAGGAUGAUCAAACCAGCACCUUUACAUGCCCUGGUGGUACCAACUAUGAUGUUAUCUUCUGCCCAUAAAGCCUCUAUUAACUAUAGUAUGCAUGUACUCGCUAGUCUAAACUACUAGGGUGCUUUUGAGUCCAUGUUGAGAUGCAAAAGCCUAGAGGAAUAAAUUUGAGCACAUGUAUGUGUACUACAUGUGAUCAUGUAACAAAAUUUCUAAGCUAGUUAAAGAAAUGGAUGUUUUUACGAGGGAUUUUAUCGAUAUUAUUAAGAAUGUGUUUUAUAGUGAUUUUAUGAAAUGUUUUUAAUUUUUUUUUAUAUUUGAAAGAUAAAAAGUUUUAAAUGUUAAAAAAAACAAAAAUAUUUUCUAAAAUUAUUAUUAAAUACAUUCUAAAAGUGGAUUUAAUAAUGAUUCUAAAAAAAUUUUAUAAUUAAAUAUGAAAAUUUUGAAGUAUUAAAAAAAACUAAAAAUAUUUUCUAAAAUUAUUAUCAAAUAUAUUCUAAAUAAUGUAGGACCUAAUAGAGAAACACUUUUGCAUAAGAAUUUUAAACAAAUAAAAAAAUAAAAAUCAUUCCAUCAAAAUAAUUCUAACUUUCUUUUUGUCUAAUUGGAUUCCAAGUAAGCUCGGUUUUUGUCCGCAAGACCAAUUGUUAAUUUAGUCUUUAGACCACUAGAAUGGAGGUUUCAAGGAAAAAAAAAAAAAAGGGUUUGACUGUGAGCAGUGCUUUGCUGACUGACCUCACUCCCAAAUCAAUUUUCCAUGUGGUGGAAGACGCCUUCCUUAAUGGGUAGGAGGCUGUUAAUGGAGAGUUUGGACUUUGGGGAGAAAUUGAUUGUUUCCCCACUCACUUUCAAUUAUAUCCAUGUACAUGUAAAAAUAUAUAGGAAAAGAAAAAAAUUUAAAAUUUUUCGUCAAAAGCAUCUCCUUCCAAUUGUUAUAUUAAAUAUUUUAUGAUUUCAAAUCUUUUCUGGUUUAAGUUUUGAAUUUACCCUAAUAAGUUUGCCCUUUUUUUUUCUGUCCCUAUUUAAUAUAUAUAAUUAUGUAGAUUUUCCAUUUUGUCUUUCAUAGUACAUAAUUUUGAUAAUAUUUAAUGUCUUUUGCUUGGUUCCCUGCAUAGCAUGUGCGUAGGAUUAUUUUUGGCUUUUAAAUCUGCUUGCAGCCUUCAUUGAACCGAAGUGGAUAGGAAGGGCUUGACUUGUUCGUAUACUCAGAGGGCACUCAACUCACUAGCAAUGCCCCACCAAAGUCGCGUGCAUUGAAUUGUAAAAUCGAUUGACUUUUCACUUUUACCUCUUAAACAAAAGGACACCUUCUCACUCCUUCCAAAUUUUUGAAAAAGAUAUAUAUAUAUAUAUAUAUAUAUAUCUAAAAACUGAAUUUAAUUAGAUUAUUUAUUAGAAAGGUUGGGUCAUCAUUCAUAACACUUCUCAAUACUCGUAUAUGUACUGUUUUUACUAAAUGAAUGAAAAGAAGUAUGAUGAUUAAUUAAUUAAUCAUGAAUAUUAAGAUUAAGAAGAUAAAUCAAUAUAUAAAAAAAAAUAAUCAAAUCAAAAUAAUGCACAAAAUAAAUGACAAGAAAAUUUUACAAAAUAAUUUAUUAAACAAAUUUAAAAUAUAUAUAUUUCAAAAAAUUAUUUUUUUAAGAAUUUCAAAAAAAAAUUAUUAAAAACAAUUUCGAAUAAAUAAUUUCAAUUUAUUUUUUAUUUUUAAAAAAUUUCAAUUUAUUUCCAACAAGUGAUUUGAUUUAAUUUUAUUUAUAUUCAAUUUUUAUUUUUAAGAAAAAUAAUUACACUUAUUUUAUCAAAUGAUUUUUUUAAAAAAAAGGAAAAUUCAAUUCCACAAUAAAAAUGAUUUUUACAUGCUUUUAUUAGAAAAAAAAAAAAGAAUUUUUACAACUUUAUUUUCAAAAAUAUUUUAAUUUAAUUUUAUUUACAAAGAAUUAAUUUCUUUACAAUAAAAUAUUUUCAAUCCAAUUUUAUCAAGAAAAUUAUUUUUACAACUUCAAUUUGCAAAAAAAACUUUCAUUUUAUUUUUAUUAAAAUAUUAUUCAAGACAUUUAUUUAUGAAAAUUAGUUUUAAUGUCAUUCUAAUUAAGGAAAGAUAACUUAUUUAAAUUUUUUGGAUAAUUUUAUUAAAAAAACCUUUUGGACAAUUUCAUUUAAAAAUCAAUUUUUUUGAACAAUUUUAAUUAAACAAAAUAAAUUUUAGACAAUUAUUAAAAACAAUUUUUAAAAAUUUUAAUUAAAAACAAUUUUAGAAUUCCUUUAAAAACAUUUUUUGAAUUUUUUUAUUAAGCAAGCUUUCUUUUAUUUAAAAGAAUCAUUUUAGAACUAUUAUUUUAUUAAAAAAUAUUUAUUAAAUGGUUCCUCUUAUUUAAACAAAAAUUUUGGGUUUGAAUCAAUACAAAUAAAAUCAGAUAAAAGUGAAAAUAAAAUGUAUAUCCAACAAGCCUACAACUCUUUUUUCUUCAUGAAAUUCAACCUUUCAUGUGUCGCGAAUCCAUACUUAGACAGAAUACCAAUGCAAGUAGUGGAAUGGGCCAUGAAAAACGAAAAUUAGUCCAAAAGUAAGUAUUUGAAAAUAUGCAAAAUCCAAAAUAAAUAUUCAAACCCAAAUUCUAUAAGCCCAAUAGGAAAAUUCAAAUUGGUCCAAUGAAUUUCACCAAUGAAAAUAAAUCAAAUUAACAAGUAUAACCCAACAAAAAUAUCUCAUUUGUUAUAAGCAUUAGUUCAAAAUUUUCAAAUUAAUAACCAAAAUCUAAUAUCCAUCAACAAGCCACAAAUCAAAAUAAUCUCAAUUAAGCCUAAGCCCAAUUUAAUACGCAAACUCAAAUUCAUAACCAAAAUCAAACCCAAUUUAAUAUACAUACCUAAAUAAUAUCUAAAAUAUAUCACAAUAUUAUCUCAUACCCGAAUUAAAUAAUUCAUGAGCAAAACCUAUAUCAAAUGUCAAUCAAUCCAAUAAAUUUUACCAAUAAUAAAAUAGCUUAAAUUUCAUAUUAAUUAAUAAACUCAGAACAUGAUAAAUCAAAAUAAAUUGAAUCAAACAUAAAUUCAAUAUCUUAUAAUUCAAGCCUAAUUGAAUAUUCAAAUCCAAAAUCCAAUAAUCACCAAAUCCAAAUACAACAUAAACUAACAAACCCGAAUUUAUAUGAAUACAAAUCAAAAUAUAAGGUCCAAAAUGAUCCAGAUUAUCUAAGCUUACAAAUAAUGUCUAAAUGCACACAUGAAAAUAAUAAAAAUUAGCCCAAACCAAUAAUCUCAAUAAUCAAGAACAAAUUAUUGUAGUGAUUAAACAGAAAUAAUAAAAAUAUAAGGAUAUAAACUUACCCAUGAAGAACCCAUUAUAGUAAUUAAACAUAAAUAACAAAAAUAAAAGAAAAUAAAUUUGCCCAAAUUUGAAGUAUGUUGUUGAAGGGUUGAUAUAGGCUAAUGAAAAUAAAAAUAAAAAUAAAAUGAAAGAAGAUAGAGAGGGAAAGAAAGAGAAAAUGGUGAGAUGAAAGACAGGUGGAAAGGGAGAACGAAAGAGGAAAGGGGGUCGCCGGCCGGCAGCAGAUCACCGAUGGAGACGGACCAACUGUGUUGUCGAUAGUGAGGGUUGAGUGAGUGUGGUGAGGGAAAAAUGAAGAAGAAAAAUGAAGAGAAGAAAAAAAAAAAAAGAAGAAAGGUGGGGCAUGUUCUCUGGAAGUGGGCCAAGAGGGGAGAAAAAGCGGGGAAAAAAAGGGAAAAAAAGAAGAUGAAAGAAAAUGAAAGAAAAGAGAGGAAAAUGGAAAUGGAAGAGAUGAGAGCGGGGGAUAUGGGGUCUCUGACGUGGGAAUGGGCAGGAGAGAGAGAGUUGAGGGAGUGGGUGGAGUAGGUGAGAGAAAAAGAAAGAAAAGAAAAUAAAAGAGGGAGGGAAGGAAGGAAAUGAGAAAAAAAGAAGAAGUAAAAUAAAAUUAGACAAAAUAAUAAAAAAUAAAAAAAUAAAAAUUAACAUUUAAAAUAUAUAAAUAGGUUAAAAAAAAUAAAACUAAGAUUUAAAAAAUAUAAAUGGACCAAAAAAUUUAAAUUUCGAUUUAAAAGGUAUAUAUGGAUAAAAAAAAAAUUCAAAUGUAAUCCAUUUGAAAUAUAAUAAUAAAAUUAAACAUAAAAUUAAUGUAAAAAAAAAAAUAGAACAAAUUUUAAGAUUACAAAAAGUAUAGGGCAUGGUACAAAUUUAUUUUUAUUAUUUAAAUAAAAAAAGAUUAUCUAAAAACAUUACUUUAUUUUUUAAAAUAAGAAAUAAUUUUUAAGAAUUUAUUCUUGAAAUGAGGAGAGUGUUUAGAAUAUUUUUUUCACUUACUUUCUAAAAAAAUAUUAUAAAAAUUAAAUUAAUAAAUAUGCAGAAUAAUUAAAAGUAAAAUGUUAUAUACAAAAGUUAUUUUAAAAAAUAUAUUAACAAAAAUCAAUUUUCUAAACGGACUUCUUCUAUUAAAAAAAUAUUAAAAAUGGUUUGAAGCAUAUAUUCAAAAGUCAUCUUUUGAGAGUAGAUUUCAAAAAUAUUUCCAAAUAGAUUUUAACAUAUCAUUUCAAAGUGAUUCUAAUUAAAAUAUUUUGAUUUAUACUUUUUUAUUCAAAAUAUUUUGAUCAACUUUUAAAUAUAAAACCAAUUCAAAAAUAUCCUCAACACAUUAUUUAAUCAUAAAAAUUCUCAUAAAUUUUUUAUUCUUCAAAUACUUUCCAACAAAUAGUCAAAGUCACAUGCAAACUCUUCCAACAAAUUUCAAAUGCAAGCCACAUACAUAUGCAACACUCCUUAACAUGAUUCGUAAGAAUAAUUUCUCAAUGACACAAAUUUCAAUUUCUACUAAAUAUCUAUAUCAAAAUAAAUAGAAAAAAAAAUUCAAGAUAUCCAAAGAUGAUCACACCUAUUUCAGUUAAUUGUUCUUCCAUUCAAUUUAUAUCCACAAGUAAUAAAUGAAAACUAAAACUGGAAAUAAAUCAAAGAAUAUAAUAAGAAUAAAUAAAUAAAUAAUGAUAUCAGAAUUUACAUAAAAAACUUUCAAAAAGAUUAAAAAAACACGGACUUACCAUCAAUAAAAAAUUCCACUAUAAAAAAUAAAUAAUGUGUACAACGAUUUACCUAACUCAAAUCUUUUAAUCUUUCAUAGACUUAACCAACACUUUCUCACUUCAAUAGCAUAUCCUCAUCUUUCAUAAUAUACUUGGCCUUUUCGUUAUACUUGAUCUUAACCUCUUCUUAAAGCUUGUUUAAGAAGAAAAAUAGGUUUUUACCCAAACCCAAAUAGAUCAAAAAUUGAGAGAAUGAAUGAAUAAAUAGAUUAACCUUUUUUUUUUCUCAAGAAAAUUUAUUGAAAGCGACUUUAAAAUCAAUAAGAAAAUGAGAUUUUCUUGACCACCAAACACUGUAAAUUUGGUAAGAAAAAAAAAGUACAAGGGCAAAAUAACUAUAUAUAUAUUUUAUUUUGUUAGAAAAAAAAUUUGAUAUAAAAAGUAGUUUUAGUGCUACAAAUAUAUCUCUAUAUAUAUAUAUAUACUCUUAAUUGAUAUCUUCUUCAAAAUGGUCCCCAUACUGUGUUCUAGCCACGACAGAUAAUACGAUUGAGAUUAACGAGACGGCGCUUAGAUAAUUCUUGUGUACGUGGAAUGAAUGGAUGGGAAUUCUUGAAUACUUAAAUACUUGACUAGUUCAAUGUUCACAUUUAUCCAUCCAGAAACAGUGGGCUUCAAGGUGCUUUCCUUAGCCCAUUGGGCCCUGCCAUCUACCCUGUGCAGCCCCGUUAGCUGACUUGCUUGCGUCUAUGGAAUGAAGUCAAGCACGAGGGCACAAAGAUAUAUGACGCCAUUCUUUGGAAUUUAAUAAAAGCUGUUUCCCAUUUCUCCGCCGCCCCCACCCUAUAUAAACCCCUACCCAUUUACUCGUAAACCACCAUCACCACUACAAAGCCUGUCUUCCUCAAAAUGGGCCUUUUCAAAAGCCUCUCCAUUUCCUCCUUCCUUCUCGCCACCCUCUUCUUCACCUCCGCCCAUGCAGCCAUUUUUAAUAUCCAAAACCAUUGCUCCUACACAGUUUGGGCAGCAGCUGUGCCGGGUGGGGGUAGGCGCCUCGACCGGGGACAGUCCUGGAGCCUGACUGUGAACCCUGGCACAACUGGAGCCCGUAUUUGGGCCCGGACCGGCUGCAGCUUCGAUGGGGCUGGGCGUGGGAGGUGCCAGACCGGGGACUGCGGUGGCGUCCUCCAAUGCACAGCCUAUGGUGCACCCCCCAACACCUUGGCUGAAUUCGCACUUAACCAGUUCAACAACCUGGACUUCUUUGAUAUAUCCUUGGUCGAUGGGUUUAAUGUGCCUAUGGCCUUUAACCCUACCUCCAAUGGGUGCACCCGUGGGAUACGGUGCACGGCCGACAUCGUGGGACAGUGCCCCAGUCAGCUCCGAACUCAGGGUGGCUGCAAUAACCCAUGCACCGUUUUCAAGACCAAUGAGUACUGUUGCAAUUCCGGGAGCUGUGGCCCGACAGAUUACUCAAGGUAUUUCAAGACUAGGUGCCCUGAUGCUUACAGCUACCCUAAGGAUGAUCAAACCAGCACCUUUACAUGCCCUGGUGGUACCAACUAUGAUGUUAUCUUCUGCCCAUAAAGCCUCUAUUAACUAUAGUAUGCAUGUACUCGCCAGUCUAAACUACUAGGGUGCUUUUGAGUCCAUGUUGAGAUGCAAAAGUCUUUGUAAGGAAUAAAUUUGAGCACAUGUAUGUGUACUGAAUGUGCUCAUGCAACAACUUUUCUACGCUAGUAGAAUAAAUGGAUGUUUUUAUGAAUCUUCGGGACUUUACACAUAUUAUUAAAUCAUGUAGGACCUGGUAUAGAAGCACUUUGCGUGCAAAUAUAAGAAUUUUUAAAAAAUAAAAAAUAAAAACCAUUCUAUCAAAAUAAUUCUAAACUUUUUUUGUCUGGUGGGAUUGCACAUGAAACAUCACUUUGAAAAAGAUGGAAAAUAUUUAUAAAAAAAAACUAACUCAUUUUUCCAACGGUUGAAUUCAAUUUAAAUAACAAAUCCAUCAUUAUAAAGUAAAAAAUAAAAUUGUUUUUUCAAAAAUCAAGUUUAAUAUUAAAACAAAACAGAUAAGAGAUUAAAAACAAAAGUUAUAAAACCGACAAGAGAGAAGAAUGGAAUGUGGUAAAAAAAAAACAUAUUUUGUAUUUAUUUUUAAAUAACAGUUUUUAAUGUUUUAGUAAUGGUUUUAAGAUGCGUUUUUAAUAUUUUUUAAAAAAUUUAAAUAUAAAAUAAUUAAAAAUACUUUUUAAAAUCGAUGUGAAACGCGUUAUUAGACUUUUUAGACCAUACAGGUUUUAGGGAAAAAAACAAAAUAAAGAAGAUUUGAUUGUGAGCAAAGCUUUCAAUUUUCCAUGUAGUGGAAGAAGCCUUCUAUAUGGGUAUUUUAUUUUGUCCUCAUAACAUGAUAUUUAUCAUAUUUGGUAUCUGCAUAGUAUAUAUACAAAAUUCUUUUUGAUUUUUCUACUCUUUGCACUUCUUAGUGGUCUGUCUAUUACUUUUAUAUAUAAUAAAAGUCAAUAACUAAAUGUAGAGAAUUUUUUGCGGGUCCAAACAUCACAUGGUUAGUUCAUGGAGUUGCUUUCGGAGAGGCCUGAACCACCCACCAGAGUUGAGCUUAUCUCUUCGCUUUUACAUCUUAAAUGACACUAGAAAAAGGUAUAUGGCAUAGUAGAAAACUAUUUUUAAAAAUAUUUUUUAUUAUUUAAAUAAAUAAAAAUUUACCUGAAAAUUUUUAUUAUUAUUUUAAAUAAGAAAGUGUUUAGAAUAUUUUUUCACUUAUUUUCUAAGAAUCAUUUAAAAAAUUUAAUUAUAUAAAUAUUGAGAAGAGUUGAAAAUAAAACAUUACAUAUAAUUUUUAAAAAUAUAAAAAUUUAUUAAAAAUAUUUCAAGUUUCUAAACAUGCUUCUAGUAAAAAAAAAAAUUAAAAAUUGUUUGAAACAUAUUUUCAAAAAUUAAUUUUGGACAACAGUUUUAAAAAAUAUUUCCAAAUAGACCAUGAAAUAUCAUUUCAAAAUGAUUUUAAUUAAAGUUGUGCAGAGUAUUUUAACAAUGAUAUGGACCUUAUCUGGAAAAUAUUUUAAAUAAAAAAUAUAUUUUUAUUUAAAUUUGUGCCAGUGUAUUUGCUUACAAGUUUAUUUAUUAUCACGUUUCAGAAAAAACAUCAGCUUCAGUUGAUAAGUUUUGAAAGAUACUUCGUAGUGGACCCACAUGGAUCACGAAUCCAUCUAAAACCCAACAUUUAUGGGCUUUCCAUGACAUUGGGCCCAGUCACGUCACGUGUCUUUUAAGUGGAAAAUAAACUUUGAAGCGGUUGCUUCUCAGUAUUUUAAAUGAUAAAUGAUGAUAUUAUCGAAAAUAGUCCCAGUCUCAGAAUAAUUGAAGCGGCCAAUCAUAUUGGAAUAAUUCAACAGGCUGUCUCAUUGAAUUUUGAAAUAAAUUUUUCCAACGUCAUCCACCGACGUUUUUCUCAUUCAGCAUUCGGUAUUUAUGAAUUUACAUAAAAGUUAAGGCAAAUUUCUGAAAUUAUAAAAAAUAAAAAUAAAAAUGAUAAUGACGUGGGGCCUCGUCUCUGCAAAAUAUUUUAAAUAAAAUUAUUUAUUUUCUAAAAACAAACCUUUUUCAUUUAAAAAAAAAAAAUUAUUGGCUUUUGAUGAUAAGGUUUGAGGAAAAAAAAGGCCACCCCGCAUUGACUCUUUCUUUCAUGCCUACGAGCCACAACGAAGUGGACCACAAAGAUGAUGCCAUCAUUUGGAAUUUUUACAAGCACGCGGUUUUUCCACAUUCACACCAACCCAAGCCCUCCUUCACACUAUACAAACCCCUACCCUUUUCCUGGAUAGACCACCCUACUCCAACCAUCAAGCCUAUCUUCCUCAACAAUGGGCCUCUGCAAAAUCCUCUCCAUUUCCUCAUUCCUUCUCACCACCCUAUUCUUCACCUCCAGCUAUGCAGCAACCUUCAACAUCCAAAACCGUUGCUCCUACACAGUUUGGGCGGCGGCAAUCCCAGGCGGGGGCAUGCGGCUUGGCUCAGGCCAAUCCUGGAGCCUCGAUGUGAAGGCCGCCACCACCGGAAGCCGUGUUUGGGGCCGUACCGACUGCAGCUUCGAUGCGUCAGGGAAUGGGAAGUGUGAGACCGGGGACUGUGGUGGCCGCCUCCAAUGCAAGGCCUAUGGUACACCCCCUAACACCUUAGCCGAAUUCGCACUUAACCAAUACAGCAACUUGGACUUCUUUGAUAUAUCUUUGGUUGAUGGAUUUAAUGUGCCUAUAGCCUUUAAUCCUACUUCCAAUGGGUGCACCCGUGGCAUCAGUUGCACCGCCGACAUCGUGGGAGAGUGCCCCGCUGCGCUAAAGACUACCGGUGGUUGCAACAACCCAUGCACCGUUUUCAAGACCGAUGAAUAUUGUUGCAAUUCUGGGAGCUGUAAUGCUACAGAUUUCUCAAGGUUUUUCAAGACUAGGUGCCCUGAUGCUUAUAGCUACCCUAAGGACGAUCAGACAAGCACCUUCACAUGCCCUGGCGGUACCAAUUAUGAAGUUAUCUUCUGCCCAUCAGCAGUGCCACAAACAUGUGUUUUUAUUAUAAAUUAAUUUGUGGUAAAAAAAACAUUUUGUGUUACAAGAUUUUUUUUCCACAAAAAAAUAUUUCCGACCAGUUUGUUGCUACAAAUUCGUAAACAAUUAUUUUUAAUCACAAAAUUUAAUUUUAUAAUAAAAUAAAUAAUUUUUUCAUAAAAUAAAUUUUAUAACAAAAUAUCAAUAUUCACCAUUAAAUAAAAUUUAUGAUAAAAUGUCAUUUUUCACCGUAAAAUAAAAUUUGUGACAACACAUCGUUUUUCAUGAAAAUAAUUACGAUAAUAUGCGACUUUUUUGUUAUAAAAAAAUUCAUGAUAAAAAAUUACCCUUCUACCAAAAAACAUUAAUUGUAACGGUCCAAACCACUGGUCUUGACAAGGAAAUAUGACAUACAGUCAAGGAGGGUUUGCUUAAAAGUCAUUAUCCUACUUGGAAACUACCUCCCUUAUUGGGGUACAUGGCAUUUUUUUAAUAAUAUUUGACUCACUUUUCCGGGAAACCUAGUUGUAGAAGUCCAAACAGGUUGCUUUUCAGGGGAAUUCACGGCAUAAAUAGAAAAGAAAGUUGCCAGAAAUGCCCUAACUGAUUAAAAUCAUUACCUUUAAUUGCAGAGAAUUAUGUCUAUCAAUUAAAUAAAUUAUAAAUAUAUGUUUGAAUUGAUUUUUAAGAAAUUGAAUGGUUUUUUAAGUUCAAUAAGAAUUUUAAUAUUGAUUUAACUAAUUUUAUUUAAAAAGCUUAUGAUUUAAAAAAUAGUUUUAUAUGAUUUAGAUAAGAAAUUAUUUAAUAUUUAAUAUAAGUUUUAUAAUACUAAUAUUAUGUAUUAAAAAUUAUGAUUUUGGUUGGACUCUCAACAUUUAGUUAAAUCUAAAAGUAGAAAACUAUUUCAAACAAAGUCAUGUUUUCUAUUUCAUUAUUAAUUAAUAUAUAUUUUUUUUAAUUCGGAUGUGAAAAGGUGUUUCAAAGUUUAAGAUUGUCUAAUAUUUUAAAUCAAAAUCUCAAUACUUAAAUUAAAGAAAAAUUUAGAUCGUAUUUAUUUGUUUAAUUGAAUAGAAAAAAUUAAAAUAUUUAAUUUUUUUAAUUUUAAUUAAAAGUAAUCUAUUUAUAUUAAUCAAUAUAACGAAAUCGAAUAUAUUGAUAAUAAAUUUACUUUAAAUAUCUUAAUUGAUAUUAAUAUAUUACUUGAACUGAAAAAACUAAAAAGCAAAAAAUAAACUCCACACUUAAAAAGAUUCUGGGCCAUGGAUACAGAAGCCCAAAAGAUUUAUUGAUGGGGGCAGUGGGCCUGGCCUGCCGUGUGCAGCUGCAUUUGUUUGACUUGUCCUCAAGCCUAGUCAACGUCUCCGUUCAAUGAAGCUGAUGUAUCGAAAAAUCCCAAAAAGCCUCAUUUUUCCCGCCAAACGCGUAAACCCCAAAAUGAGUUUCUUCUGCAACUGCAGCAAUCUCUCUACUUCCUUCUUCCUCCUCAUCUUCAUCAAUGCAACCAUUUUCGAAAUCCGAAACAGCUGCCCCUAUACCGUCUGGGCAGCCGCCUUACCCGGCGGCGGAAGGUAACUCGACCAAGGCCAGACCCGGAACCUUUCAGUGAGCUCCAACACAACCCAAGGCCACAUCUGGGGCAGAACCAAGUGCAGUUUCGAUGAAGCCGGAAGGGGGAACUGCGAGUCCGGUGGAUGUGGAGGCCUCCUUGAAUGCCAAGAAUAUGGUUCACCGCCCAACACCAUUGCCGAGUACGCCAUAAACCAAUUCAACAAAACUGAUUUCUUCGAUAUUUCUCUGGUGGUUGGAUUCAACCUUCCAAUGGAGUUUAGCCCAACUUCUGAUGGGUGCAAACGUGGGGUCAAGCGUACGUGCGACAUUAACGGGCCGUGCCCAAACGAGUUGAGGGACCCGGGUGGGUGUAACAACCCAUGUACCGUUUUCAACAAUACUCAGUACUGUUGCAAUACCGGGAGCUGUUAGCCUACACCUUCAUGUUUUUCAAGGCUAGCUGCCCAGAUGUAUACAGUUACCCUUUGGGAGAUGAUUCAAUCGGUACGUUUACCUGCGCCGCAUGCACUAACUAUCGUAUAGUCUUCUCCGAGUUUUGGGGUAGCCCAAAGUUUAAACCUUUUUGCAAAACUUACAAUCAAACUCGUCCUUUUUAUUAUCACCUAGAGUCAUAUUAUGUUUUUUUUUUCAAAAUUUAAGUUGAAAAUUUUAUUUUUGAAUUGAAGCCAUAAUUAAUAACCAAGACUUCAUUUUGAACGGAAACCUCAUUUGAUAAGUGAGACUUAGUUUUUUAAUUAAAACCUCAUUUUGACAAUUAAAACUUCAUUUAUUAAACUAAAACCUUAAUUGUGACUUUAGUUAUUUUUUUUACUUUAAAAUUUAAUUAAAAAUAUUAAAUUUCAAAUUAUUAUUGAAAUUAAAAAUAUUUACUUUAAUAAUAAAAAAUUAUAUAUUUAAGUUUAAGGAUUCAACAUUAUUCUAAUAAAGAUAAAUUGAUAAAUAAAAUAAAUAAAUGAAUAAUUUUAUUUAUCAAUAAAUUAAUAAUUUUAAAAUAAUAAAGUUAUAUAAUAUAUAAAUAAAAUAUAAAAUUAUAUAAUUUAUUAAUUUAAGUUAUAUUACAAAUACUAUAUGUUACCGGGCAACUAAAAAGGAAGAAAGUUAUGUAUAGGUUCUCUCUUUGUAAAGACACGUAAGAUUAUAUAAUUUUCUUUUUUACUAUAUGAAUAUUUAGUAAACAAUUUUUGUGACAUAGAUGAAACUACUAAAACUUAUAUUUUGUAGUAAACAUUUUUUAAUUAAUUUUAUUAGCUAAUUUUAAAAUGUAUCUUCAAGGCAUAUAUGUUGUGGGUAUAAAUAAUAAUUUUUUUUUAAUGAAAAAUUAUAAACAUAUACUUUAAAAUAAUAAUAAAAUCUAUAUAUAAAAGCUUAAGAAUAUACUAUUAUUUUAAUAAAGAUAAAUUUGUGAAAAUACAAAUAAAUUAAUAUCUUAAAAAUAAAACAAAUUAAAUAUCUUAAAUUAAUAAAUUAUAUAAUUUUAUAUCUUAUUAUAUUUAUCAAUUUAUCUUUAAACCUAAGUCCUAAGUCCAAGGUUUAAAUAUUUUAUUAUAUUUAUUAAUUUAUCUUUAUUGAAGUAAUACUAGAUUUUUAAGUUUAAACAUAUAAUUAAUUUAUUAUUAAAGUAUAUAUUUUUAAUUUCAACAAUAAUUUAUAAUUUAAUAUUUUAAUUAAAUUUUAAAGUAAAAAAAUAAUUAAUUGAAGCUUCAAUUGAAAAUUAAGACUUUAAUAAAAAAAUGAAGUCUCAAUUAUCAAUUGUGAAUUCAAUUUAAAAAUGAGGUAUGAUUUGACAAUUAAGGUUUCAGUUUAUAAAUGAAACCUUAAUUGUCAAUUGUGGUUUUAGUUCAAAAAUAAACCCUCAAUUGAUAAUUGAGGUUUUACUUAAAUUUUAAAAUAUAUAUAUAUUAUGAUACGACUCUUAUGUGACAAUAAAGGACUAGUUUGAACAUAAAUUUUAUAAAAAUGUUAAAUCUUACAUUUCUUUUUAUACAAGCUUAUUUAUUUUUGUUUCUUAAAAAAAAAAAAAUUAUCAGCUUCCCUUGAUAAGAUUUGAGGAAAAACAAAGAUGAGGUAGGAUUGGCUCUUCCAUGCCUCUAAGUCGAGCACCAUCUUUUAGAUUUUAACAAAGCUUAUUGCUAAAAUAUUUUCAUUUAGGGUCAUUAACUUUAACUUAGGGUUCAUCGAGGAACUUUUUCAGAAAUAAUUCUUAAAAAGUAAUUCUCAAGAAUAACUUUUAAAAAUAAUAUUUUAAUAUUUUUAAAAUAAAAAGUUUUGAAGAGCUUAGAAUAUUGUCAAUUUUUUUUUAUAUUUUUAAAUAUUUCUUAAAAAUAAUUCCUAUUUAUAAUACCUUAUUUUAAGACAUUCUUCGUGUUUAUUCAAUAAUUCCUAAAAAGUAAUUAAAAUAUAAUAUAUGUAAAAAAAAUCACUUUUCAUAGUUUUAGUUUUAAAUUUAUAAUUAACAAUCGAAUGUGUUUUUAUACUUUUUUUAUUCUAAAAACCAAAAAGAUAAAUCCUUAAUAGAAAUUUUCAAACAUUGUUUUAGUGUCCCACCCCAAGUCCACCUUCGCUCUAUAUAAACUCCUAGCCAUUUCCUCACGGACCACCCCAAACCAUAAAGCCCAUCUUCCUGAAAAAAUGGGCCUCUUCAAAACCCCUUUAAUUUCCUCAUUCCUUCUCACCACCCUAUUCUUCGCCUCCUGCCACGCAGCCACGCUGAUCAACAUCCAAAACCAUUGCUCCUACACAGUUUGGGCGGCGGCGGUACCAGGUGGGGGCAGGCAGCUUGGUCCGGGCCAAUCCUGGAGCCUCGAUGCGAACCCUGGCACAGCCCGUGUGUGGGCACGUACCAACUGCACCUUUGAUGGGUCAGGGAACGGGACGUGUGAGACCCGAGAUUGUGGUGGCCGCCUCCAAUGCCAAGCCUAUGGUACACCCCCUAACACCUUGGCCGAAUUCGCACUUAACCAAUUCAACAACAUGGACUUCUUCGAUAUAUCUUUGGUUGAUGGAUUUAAUGUGCCCAUGGCUCUUAAUUCUACUUCCAAUGGGUGCACCCGUGGCAUCCAAUGCAGCGCCGACAUAGUCGGACAGUGCCCUGAUGAGCUCCGAGCUCCCGGUGGUUGCAACAAUCCAUGCACUGUUUUCAGGACCGAUGAAUAUUGUUGUUAUUCUGGGAACUGUGGCCCUACAACUUACUCCAAGUUUUUCAAGGAUAGGUGUCCGGUGGCUUAUAGCAACCCUAAUGAUGAUCAAACAAGCACCUUUACAUGCCCUGGUGGUACUAACUAUGAUGUUAUCUUCUGCCCAUGAUGCCUCUACUAGUCCUGUUAGACGAUUUGGUACCAUCUUGGGAUCCAAAUGUCUAGAAGAAUAAAUUUGAGCACAUGUCCAUGUCCAUAGUCAUGUAAUAAGAUUUCUACCAUCAUAGAAAUCGAAUGAUUUUCAGAGGGGUUAGAAGCUUUGAAUAAUGUUUAAAUGUGCUUUACUUAUAAAAGUUUAGAACUAAUUCUUCAUAAAAAUAAUUUUGUCCAAGUGUUAUUGUUUAAGAGUUUAUUUGAUAUUGAAUUAUGAAAGUAUUUUGAAUUAUUUUAACAUUUAAAAAAUAAUUUUUCUUUAAAUAUUAAAAAAUUUAAAAAUGCUUCUUAUAAUUAUUAUCAAAUAAACUCUAAAUACUAUAUAUUAAAAACAUAAUUACUAGAAUGACCUCUAAAUGAAUUCAUAUUUUAAGUACACCGAGAAUGAUAGAAUUCAGUAAUGGUGUUUUAAAUUAAAUUGGUAAAUAUUUUGGGAUUUUCCAUUUGAAUAAUUUUUAGAAGUGAAUAAAUUAUUUUUCAGCUCUAACAUAAACAAAUCCUGUUAUUGUGGUGUGGAAAAACCUUUGCUCAAGAGUCAAGAGCGGUGGUGGAGGCUUGAGUUACGUACCCAAGUUGAAUUUUUGUAAAAGGAUGUGGAGGAGUAGAGUACAAGGAAAAUUGAUUUGCGGACAAGACCAGUUAGUUAGUGAAGCUUGAUUAAAGUCGAAGUUUUGGUGUUUUCUCCCAAGACUUCCUUUGUAGUGGUCCAAAAAAUUGGUAAGGAAAUAUGACAGACAUCGAAAGAGGAUUUGGCUAAAAGUCAAUAACUAUUUGGAGCUAUGUUCCCUUCUCGGGGCGAUGGCGUUUGCUAGUAAUCUUUGACUCGCUCUUCCCCGUAGCUUCCAUAGCAGUCCAAACCGGUUGCUUGUUCAAGGAAAACACCGUAUAAAUAAGAGGGAAGUGGCUAAAAGUCUAACUAAUUAAAAUCGUAGUCAUUUAUUGUGUGGAAUAGCGGGACACAUACGUAUUGAAGUUGAACUUGUCCAUCAAUUAAAUCUAAUACAAUUUUCUUUUUCAAUCCAACUAUUACGUAAUAAAUUUUAAAUUUCAAAUAUAUUUGCUUUUAAAAUUUACUCAAACCAAUUUAAUAACUUACAAAUAACUAAUUCAAUAACUUGGACUUCUUUAAUAUAGUAUUGUCCAAGCAUAUAUUUGAUAUGUCUUUAAUUUAUUUUUAAUUGUGCUUCUAAGCUACGUUUGGUUCUCGAAAAAUUUGAGAGAAAAUUUAAAAGAAAAAAAUUACAGAUGAAAAAAAAUAAAAAAUAGUUUAAAUAUAAUAAAUUAUAUUUGAUUUGAUUUUCUAUUUUUUUUUAUAGUGAAACAAAAUAUGAGAAAACCAUUUUUAUUAAUAUUUUUUUUCUUUAGAACACUUUCCAACAUAACUUACCAUUUAUUUUUUUGGUCAUGCAAAAGUUGAUGUAAAAAAUAUAGUUAGUCUCUCUUAUAUCAUUCAUUUGAAAUUGAGUAGAUUAAUGGUGUUUGUUUUUUUGGUUUUUUACUUAAAGCAAUUUAGUUUUAGAAUUUAGGUUGUUUGUUUUUCUACUUUUUCAUGACUUAUUAUAAACUUUUUACUAAAUAGAAAAAGUCAAAAUAUGUAGCUUUUUCUAAGUAGGAAAAAUAACAUAUUGAUUUUUUUUACUUUUUAAUACUUAAUAGAAAUAAAAUACUACAAAAACAAAUAACCUAAUAUUUAACACUAUUAAGCAUUAAGGUUCUAUUUAGAAUUAAGUAAAAAAACAAACAUCAUCUUCACACUAAGUAAUAACCCUAUAUUAGUCCUAAUAAGUAAUAAAAUUCCUCUACUAAUACAUGGUAUGGAUAAAAUAUUUACUAAAUUAACAACAUGAAUGUAAGUAAUUUAGAUAUUAGUAGGAUAUAUUUUUGUCUUAAUUAUUUAAAAAUAUAAACAUAUUUAUAUUAGGUUCUUGCUUUUUAUAAAUAUUAAUUCAACAUUUUUAGUAAUUUUUUUUUUAAAUUUAAUAAUUACAUAACCAAAAGUAAAAAAAAAAAAAAAUCAUUUUAUGAUGAUUUUUUGUCAAUUUUCAAUGAUUUCUUUCUAGUUCUUUGUUUUCAGUAGGUUAUUGAGUUAAUAAAGAAAUAAUGAAAUAUAAUGUGAUUGGGUUUUGGGUAUUUUUUUUUUUUAUAAUUUGUUUAAAAAAAAUUAGAUAAUAAAAAUAUCAUAUAUAUAUAUUUUGUUAUAAAAUUUUUAAAAGGAAAAAAAUUGUUGCUAAAUAUGAUUUUCAAAAACAUUUAUCACAAUUUUAAUUCAAAAAAUUGAAAAAUAAAAGUGUAAUGGAAGAUACUACUAAUGUAGUACAAGCAAUAAAUAUUUUUACCCUUAGUUGUGAAAAAUAUAGAGGAAAGAAAUUUUAUGAUGUCUGUUUCUAGAAGGUUGUAGGAAACCUGUUUGCCACGCCAGCCUAUUAAUAUUUUCUUCUUCGAAAAUUAAGAAAUUAUGGCAUUUUUUUAAAAAAAAAUUAUGCUUAAAAAUAGUUUUUUAUUUAGAAUAUAAAACUUAAAUUUAAAGAAAUUGAGAAUAUAUUCUAAAACUGAAUUAUCUUUUAGAAUAAAUUUAAGGGUUUUUUUUUAUUAUGUUCUAUUAAAUAAUAAUUAUUAAAAAUAUGAAAAUUAUUUUUUUUUAAAAAUAUAUUAUAUAUGUGUAUGUCAACUUUAAGAAAAAUAAAUAAAUAAAUAAAUAUAUAUAUAUAUAUAUAUAUAUAUAUUUUAUGUCUGAGAUUUUAAACAAAAUUUUAUUUAUAAAAAUAAUUAAAAAUUAUGUUUUGCCUAACAUGCCUAUGUUCUAGUCGUCUACGGAGUUGGUUCGGGAUGGCAGUGGAAAAUAUACUUUAGAUAUUUUCUCUUCUCUAUAGUCAGAUGCUUCUGCGUAUUUUAAAUGGUAAAGACCAAAACUCAAUUAUGAUAUUAUCGAAAAUAGACCCAGUCCAAAGUGGUCAUUCAUACUGGCAUAGUUCCAGGAAGGUGAUCAACAUCAGGGCUGUCUCAUUCAAGAAAGGAAAUUUGCACCCACGUUUUCUAGAUACAUUCCUACUGUUCUGAUGAUUCGGUAUGCACGAAUUUAUGCAAAGGUUAGGCAGAUUUCUGAAAAUAAUAAAAAUGGUAAUGAAGUGGACCCUUCUCUCUGUAAAAUAUUUUAAAUAAAAAAUACUUAUUUUUCUAAAAAUAAGUAUUUUCAAUAUGUAAUAUAUGUUUUAAAAAAAAAAAUUAAUUUACAAGCUUAUUUAUUUUUAUUUCUUAAAAAUAUUAUCGGCUUUUGUUGAUAAGAUUUGAGGAAAGAAAAAGGGCCACCUCACAUCGACUCUUCCAUGCCCGCAGGCCCCAACGAAGUCGACCACAAAGAUGACGCUAUCUUUUGGAAUUUUUACAGGGAGGUUUUUUCACAUACACACCAACCCAAGCCCACCUUCACCCUAUAAAAACCCCCACCCGGUUCCUCACAGAUCACCCCACUCCAACCAUCAAGCCUAUAUAUCUUCCGAAACUCAACAAUGGGCCUCUGCAAAAUCCUCUCCAUUUCCUCAUUCCUUCUCACCACCCUAUUCUUCACCUCCAGCUAUGCAGCUACGUUCAACAUCCAAAACCAUUGCUCCUACACGGUUUGGGCUGCGGCAGUCCCAGGCGGGGGCAUGCAGCUUGGCUCAGGCCAAUCCUGGAGCCUCAAUGUGAAUGCCGGCACCACUGGAGGCCGUGUUUGGGCCCGUACCAACUGCAACUUCGAUGCGUCAGGGAAUGGGAAGUGUGAGACCGGGGACUGUGGUGGCCUCCUCCAAUGCACGGCCUAUGGUACACCCCCUAACACCUUAGCCGAAUUCGCACUUAACCAAUACAGCAACUUGGACUUCUUUGAUAUAUCUUUGGUUGAUGGAUUUAAUGUUGCUAUGGCCUUUAAUCCUACUUCCAAUGGGUGCACCCGUGGCAUCAGUUGCACCGCCGACAUCGUGGGAGAGUGCCCCGCUGCGCUAAAGACUACCGGUGGUUGCAACAACCCAUGCACCGUUUUCAAGACCGAUGAAUAUUGUUGCAAUUCUGGGAGCUGUAAUGCUACAACUUACUCCGAGUUUUUCAAGACUAGGUGCCCUGAUGCUUAUAGCUACCCUAAGGACGAUCAGACAAGCACCUUCACAUGCCCUUCCGGGACCAAUUAUGAAGUUAUCUUCUGCCCAUAAAUCUAUUAUUUAAAUCAUAUGCUAGUAUGCCUCUACUGGUCUCAACUAUUAGGAGGCAAUGGUAUCCACCUUGGGUUCCAAAAGCCUAGAGGAAUAAAGUUGAGCCCAUAUUCGUGGUCAUGUAUUAAGAUUUCUACACUAGUCGAAGCAAUGGAUGCCUUUUUUUAUAUAGAUAUAUGCUAUCUUCUUCUUCUAAUCUCUGUGGUCCCUUCCAAGUAACAUUUCAUAUAGAUAUAUGAAUUUUAAUGAUUAUUCUUCUUCAGAAUUCUUUUUUUUUUUUUUUUUGAAAAUGAAAUUAAGCUUAACAUGAACAAAAUUCUGCUAUCAUGGUACGGAGAAAUCUUUGCUUGAGAGCGGUGGUUGAGGAUUGAGUCACCUACCCAAGUCAAAUUUUUGUAACAAUUAGAUGUUCAUCUUUAGAGUACUACAAGGAAAAUUGAUGUGAGGAUAAAGACCAGUUAACGAAGCUUGACUGACGUCAAAAUUUUAUUUUAUUUCCUUUUCUCUAAUCCUACCUUGUAGCGGUCCAAAUUAAUUGUCUUGACAAGGAAAUAUAACACAUAGCCAAGGAGGAUUUGCCUAAAAGCCAUCAUCCUGUUUGAAAACUACCUCCCUUAUUGUGCACAUGACACUUUUUCUAAGGGGAAUAAUCCAACCAUACAUUGGACCAAUAAAAUAAGUAUUUUUGGGAUUUUAUUUUUACCUUCACAAAUUGAGUGCGUAAAGUGCGGGGGAAAAAAACUCAUUCAUGCAUUUCAAUAACACUUGUGAAUUUAUUCCAAAAUUACAUUCAAAGUACACCUAUCAUUUUUUUUUACAUCAACUCUCUCACACCUCCAUUUCACCCGCCAUGUUCAUACGGUUUUUUUAUCUCUCACCAACAUAUUCAUAGUCUCAUGUAUUUUCUUAUAAAACAUCUUUAAUUUCAAUUUUUUUUUCACUCUCUAAUCUCUCCAUAUUUAUUGAUUUUAAUCAUUUUUUAGACACAUUAAACUUAAAAUGAUAAUAUAUAAUAAAUAAUUAAUAAUAAAAAAUUAAAUAAAAACAUAAUAUUUAAUGAACAAAAAUUAAAAUAUUAUCUCACAAAUAAUAUACUUGAUAAUUUUAAAUAUUAAUUAUAAUAAUGUUUAAGAUUUAAAUUUAAAAAUUAUGUUUUUAUUAUUUAGAGGCUUAUGAUAUAAUUUUUUUUAUAUUAAUACUAAAUAAAAGAUUUAUUGAUUUUGUAAAUCUUAUCAUACGUAAAAGUAAAAAAUAUCUUUGUAAUAUUAUUUUAUUAUUUUUAUUUUGAUAUAAAAUUUUUCAUUUGUAAUAUUAUUUUAUUAUUUUUAUUUUGAUAUAAAAUUUUUCAUAUCAAAAUCACAAUAAGUGAUAGUAGUUUUUUUUUUGUUAUGGUUUUAAUUGUGGUUUUAACUUUUUACUUGGUUAAAUUUUUUAAUUUUUUAUCAAGAUAAAAUAUAAAAGAAAAUAUGUUUUUUCAUAAAAAAAAAAUACAUUGUUUUAGGGAAAUUGAGAUACUUAUCUCUUUUAUCAUGAUGCAUAUACUCCUUUUGGAAUUCUCGGGAAGUGUUUUUAAAUUCUCUCCCACCUCGAAAAAGACUUUGAAACUUCAAGUAAGAAAAAUAAAUACAUCCUUUAAGAAAAAUGGAUUUUCUUUGAAUUGGUUGCCUCACAAUAUUUUAAAUGAUAAAGACUAAAAUUCAAUUAUGAUAUUAUCGAAAAUAGUCCCAAUCUAACGACUAGUCAAGAUAUUUGAAGUGGCCAAUCGUAUUGGAAGAAUUCCAGGAAGGUGCUCAACAGGGUUGUCUCAUUCAAAUAAGGAAAUUUGAAAUAAAUUUUCUCAAUACCAUGCACCCACGUUUUCUAGAUACAUUCCUACUGUUCUCAGAAUUGAGUGCUCAUGAAUUUACAUAGAAGUUAGGCAGAUUUCUGGAAAUAAUAAAAAUGAUAAUCACGUAGAACCUUGUCUCUGUAAAUUAUUUUAAAUAAAAAAUACUUAUUUUUCUAAAAAUAAGUAUUUUCAAAAUGUAAUAUAUGUUUUUUUUUUUUUUAAAUAAUAAUAAUUUACAAGCUUUUUUAUUUUUAUUUCUUAAAAAAAUUAUGGGCUUUUGUUGAUAAGAUUUGAGGAAAAACAAAAAGGGCCACACUACAUUGACUCUUCCAUGCCUACAGGCCACAACGAAGUCGACCACAAAGAUGACGCCAUCUUUUGGAAUUUUUACAGGACGGUUUUUCCACAUACACACCAACCCAAGCCCACCUUCACCCUAUAUAAACCCCCACCCAUUUCCUCACAGAUCACCCCACUCCAACCAUCAAGCCUAUCUUCCGAUCCUCAACAAUGGGCCUCUGCAAAAUCCUCUCCAUUUCCUCAUUCCUUCUCACCGCCCUAUUCUUCACCCCCAGCUAUGCAGCCACCUUCAACAUCCAAAACCAUUGCUCCUACACGGUUUGGGCUGCGGCAGUCCCAGGCGGGGGCAUGCAGCUUGGCUCAGGCCAAUCCUGGAGCCUCAAUGUGAAUGCCGGCACCACUGGAGGCCGUGUUUGGGCCCGUACCAACUGCAACUUCGAUGCAUCAGGGAAUGGGAAGUGUGAGACCGGGGACUGUGGUGGCCUCCUCCAAUGCACGGCCUAUGGUACACCCCCUAACACCUUAGCCGAAUUCGCACUUAACCAAUUCAGCAACUUGGACUUCUUUGAUAUAUCUUUGGUUGAUGGAUUUAAUGUGCCUAUGGCCUUUAAUCCUACUUCCAAUGGGUGCACCCGUGGCAUCAGUUGCACCGCCGACAUCGUGGGAGAGUGCCCCGCUGCGCUAAAGACUACCGGUGGUUGCAACAACCCAUGCACCGUUUUCAAGACCGAUGAAUAUUGUUGCAAUUCUGGGAGCUGUAGUGCUACAGAUUACUCAAGGUUUUUCAAGACUAGGUGCCCUGAUGCUUAUAGCUACCCUAAGGACGAUCAGACAAGCACCUUCACAUGCACUGCCGGUACCAAUUAUGAAGUUGUCUUCUGCCCAUAAAUCUAUUAUUUAAAUCAUAUGCUAGUAUGCCUCUACUAGUCUCAACUAUUAGGAGGCAAUGGUUUCCACCUUGGGUUCCAAAAGCCUAGAGGAAUAAAGUUGGGCACAUUUUCGUGGUCAUGUAACAAGAUUUCUACACUAGUAGAAGUAAUGGAUGUUUUUUUUUUUUAUAUAUAUAUAUAUAUAUAUAGAUUUAUGCGAUCUUCUUUCUUUCUAACCUCUAUGGUCCCGUCCAAGUAAUAUUUCAUAUAUAUUUUAUUCUAUAUAAUAUCUGCGGAUAAGAUCGGUUAAUGAAGCUUGACUAAAGUCAAAAUUUUAUUUUAUUUCAUUAUCCUACUU